rnacentral:lncRNA from 1 species
AAAAAGAAACCAUUUCGAGGCAGCAGUUGGCAGUUGGCAGUUGGCAGUGAAUGGAGCCCCUUGAAAAAGUUCCCAAGCCGUUGCACUGCAAUUACGAUCAUCCUCGGCCUCAGGUAAUUUCUUCUCCUGCAUUUUUGUUAUUUGCUAUCAAGUGACUAUUUUAAGUAUGAUUGCAUUAAGCUGCCGCUGGGAAAUUUGAGGUUUUGAUGACUGCCCAUGCUAUUGUCAGAAGCUGCGGUUCUUUUCAUCAGCCUGAACCUGGACCUGCCGCUAUGGAUAACUCAGGUUUUUUUUUUUUUUAAUCCACUGCGUCAUCUUUUCCACUGUUUUGAAAAUCUUAAGAUUAAACUUUAGUGAAGUUGUUUUAGUUAUCCAUGUAAUCAGGCUGAGGAUACUUAGCUGCCUAUUUAGGCAAAUGUCAGAAUUUAGUUUGUUCGCUGGGAACUGGUGUGGACUGGCAAAGGAUGAUGAGAUAGUUUUUUGAGUGAGUAAAUUUUGGGAGCUUGAGUGUAUUGGGAUUUGAAAUUACAAUCAUCGUCUGCCUCAGGUGAUUUCUUCUCCUGCUCUGUCAUUGUUUGUUCUCUAAUUCAAAAGCAUAAAAUAUUUCAAUCAAUUUUUAUACCAGGAAUAUGCAAAAGUUUCUAAUAUUUUAUUUCCAUCUGUUACAAGAUCAAACUGAAGCAGAACUCAAACAAAAGUAUGCUCCUUCUUGCGGAUAUCUUGCCUUUGUUCAGAUUAUGAAACCAUUUCCAUGCAGCAACUUCAUCCAAAAGUUUGAAUAAGUUUCACGGUUGGACACUGUUGGCUUCUUUUUCUUCUGGGGUGCAUUUAGGUGCUAUCAAGUGACAGCUGUAAGUAUGAUUGCACUAAGCUGCCGAUGGGAAAUUUGAGGUUUUGAUGGCUGCCCAUGUUAUUUUCAAUAAACUAUUGAUGUAAGAAGCUGUGGUUCUUUUCAUCAGCUUGAACCUGAAACUGUCGCUAUGGAUAACUCAGGUUUUUGUUAUCAACUAUAUCAUCUUUUUCACUAUUUUGAAACUCUUAAGAUUAAACUUUAGUAAAGUUGUUUCAGCUAUUCAAAUGAAAAACUCAUUGAUUUGAGAAUUCCUUCAUUAUUGUUUCUAAUUACAAUGCUAACGAUCCAGAUAAAAUAAUAUUUAAUCGGCGAAGGUGUCCCUUGGAAGUACAUCCUUCUUUUUCUUUUAUUAUAUAAAUUCUUGCAAUGAGCUUAGUGAAGCUGUUGUGCUAAUCAUGCCACUGCAUAAUUUGGCCCCUAAUGUGGGUACUCUGUUACAUUGUUCUGCAAAUUCUCCAGAAGUUAAAAUCAAUAAAUUUUCUAUUAGCUCUAUUGCUUUGACCUAAAUGCUAUUCUAUAUUCUGAUUACAAUGUUUUAACCUUUAAAUUAACUACCCCUAGAUGUUGGAUUUUCUAGAACUUCAAAAUGAUUAAUGGAGAAAGAUCCCAUUAUCGUUAUUGCUAUAAGAAAUUGAUUUAUGCAUCCAAAGAUACAUUAUAUAUUUCUGUGUCUCUAUUUAUGGAUGACAUUUAAUCAUCCAUAAACUGUCAGACAGAGGAAGGGGGUUCAGUGCAAAGAUUCUGUUGACCUAGGGUUGACUGCAUAUGUCACUUGUUCGCAAUCUAUUAUUUAUUUUAUAUUUUGAAGAAUUUAAUGGGUAAUCCUAAUUGUUUGUUUUGGCAGGUUUGUGUUGUUAUCUCCUUCUAUCUUACAGUCGUACCUAAAUAGCAUAGUUUCAUCUGUGUUACCAUGUGAUGUACAUAAUUUCACAUUUGCCUCAGAUUAAGCUUAAUUUCCCACAAAAUAGAGCUGUCGCGACUGGACUUAGGUUGAUGUCCAAAGAGGUAAAUUAUUGGCAAUGCCUAGAUAAUUUGGCCAUUUCCUAAUUCAUAAGUCUACCUUAAUUUUGAUUUUGAGUUGACUGAUUUCUUUUCAAGGUCUGCUUCCUUAACGGAGUGACCAAUGUUUUUCAACUAAAUUUAUCAUAUGAUGCAGGAAGCAGGGCAGGAUAUGAAAUGAGCAGCUCAUUGGUGGAAGUAUUGCCAGUAACAGAACCCAAAGAAAAUGAAACUAUUUCAAGGCAGCAGUUGGCAGUUGCAAGUGAAUGGAGGCCCUGACAAAAUUCUCAAGCGGUUGCAAUGCAAUUACGAUCAUCCUCAGCCUCAGGUAAUUUCUUCUCCUGCUCUGUUUUUAUCUGUUAUCUAAUUAAAAAGCAUAAAGUAUCUUGAAUCACUUUCUGUAUCUGGAAUAUAUGCAGCAGUUUCUAAAAUCUUCAUAUGAGUGUAAUGAUGGUAAUUUCUGUUUUUUGUCUGUCUUUGAAUGUUAGACAACUUUCAGUGAGACUCUUGAACCGAGACAUUUUUGACAAAUGAAGGACAAUUGCUGAAGAGUGGGAAUGGUGCUAGAUUGGGGAAUAAAGACAAAGGAGGUAAAUUAUUUGCAGUUUAUUCAGCAUUAUUUGCUUUGGACCAGCGCCUGAUUCACAAGUCUCCAUAAUUUGGCUUUUGACCAGUUGUUAAUAAAUUUUUUUAUUCCAUUGGUGCUAAAUGUACACGUGAAGCAGGCAGAGCAGGACUGUGGAAAUGAGAAGGUUUUUAGUGAAAGCUUAAACUCAGGUAAUUCUAAAAAGUACAUGUUUUUGCUGAUUUAUCUAAAUCAGGAAAUUUUAUUUCCAUCUGUUACAAGAUAAAACAGAAACAGAACACAAAGAAAAAUAUUCUACUUCGUGUGGCAAUCUUGCCUUCAUUCAGACAAUGAAACCAUUUCCUUUCACCAAUUUCUUCCAAAAGUUUGAAUAAGUUUCAUGGUUGGACAUAGUUAGCUUCUUUUUCUUUUGGUGCAUUUAGGUCCUAUCAAGUGACAGCCAUAAGUAUGAUUGCAUUAUCGGGAAAUUUUAGAUUUCGAUGGCUCCCCAUGUUAUUGCCAAGAAAGUCCUCAUGUCAGAAGCUGCGGUUCUUUUCAUCAGCCUGAACCCGAACCUGUCGUUAUGGAUAACUCAGGUUUUUGUCAUCAACUAUAUCAUCUUUUUUACUGUUUUGAAACUCUUAAGAUUAAACUUCAGUAAAGUUGUUUCAGUUAUCCAUGUAAUCAGGCUAAGGAUAUUUAGCAGCUUAUUUAGGCAACUGCCAGAAUUCAGUUUGUUCGCUCGAAACUUGUAUGGUGACAAGGAUACUGGCAAGGAUAGUGAGAUAGUUUUUUGUGUGAGUGAAAUUUGAAAGCUUGGGUGUUCUGGGAUUUGCAAUUGCAAUCAUCCUCUGAGUCAGGUGAUUUCUUCUUCUGCUCUGUCUUUAUUUUCUCUCUAAUUGAAAGCAUAAAGUAUUUCAAUCAAAUUCUGUACCAGGAAUACGUAAAAGUUACUAAUAUUUUAUUUCCAUCUGUUUGCAUAGAUAACUUGGCGGCAUAUGUUCUAGUUAAAGAACAAACAGAAACAGAGUUCAGGAAAAAGUUUCUUCGGCCACCAUAUUUGAAAAUGAAACCAUUUCCAGGAAGCAGUUGGCAGCAAAUUCAUAUGGAGUGUAGACAAUGAUGAGCAAAAAGGUGAUUCGCAAUUUCUUUUUUUUUUUAAGUGAAAUUAUUUGUUAGAUUGAAGCUGAUAUUGUAAGAAGGCCAUUGAGCUAACCUAUGUCGCCACUUGCCUAGAUUGCAGGGGGUCAAGACUCAAAAGAAGCACUGAAAUUUAAAAAGCAUGCAAUAGUUCUUUUACCAUGUGUCAAUUAAUGCGAGUUUGAGUAAGUUUAUUGGCUGAACGAUGUUAGCUUCUUUUCCUUUCGUGCACUUUGGUAUGCUAUCAAGUGACAACCGUAUGUAUGGCUUGCAUAUAGCUGCUGCUGGGAAAUUUGACGAUUUCAUGGCUGGCCGUGUUAUUGUCUUAAAUUAGUUGUGAUAAGCUGUUGCUUGGAGAUUCUGUUGCCAAGACUUUGCUCACAUCAGGAGCUGUGGAAUCUGAACCCUUCGUUAUGUAUCAUCUUUUUCAUUGUUUUAAAACUCUCAGGAUUAAACUUGAGCGAAUUUGUUCGGUUGUCUAUAUAAUCAUGUAUUGAGUAAACUCUCAGGAUACUGAGCAGGCAAAUGUUAUAACUCGGUUUGUUAGCCAAAAACUUGUUGAAGAUUCUUGACAAAGCUGCAUCAAGUGAAUUGUCGGAGCUCUGAGGGUGAGAGAAAUUAGAGGGUGUAUAGGGAUUUGGAUUUGUUAGGAAGUUAUCAUUUUUUUUUUUUUUUCCCAGAAAAUCUUCUGGUGGUGCUAUAUUUUCAAACGACAGUCCGAUUCAAAACUUGAUAUUCCAAUUAUAUUCAUAAGCUUCUAUAGUUAUCUUCAAAAAGACAAAUGGAAGGCUUUGAACGGCUUGGGUCUGAGUAUUGUAGUUUGAUUUAUUUUGAUGAAAGUACCUUUUGACAUUGAGAUUCUUUCAUGAGUUAAACAUUCUUUUUAAAACCAACUUAUUAAAAAAAAAGUAACUAACAUAUAUUAUUUUGUUAGUGCUUUUUAAAUCAAAUAUAAAAAAGAGAACUGUAAUUCUUAGCAACCAAUUUUUCACUGAAUACACCUACAACAAACUAUUAAAAAAUAAAGUGAUAGAAAAUGCCUGAUUUUUCGUACUUUUUAAUUAUUUUUGGUCCUAAAAUAUGGCGAUUUGUGUAAUAAUAAGCCCAUGUAUAUCUUUAUGCCAUUAGUUUGAUAAAUAGCUAUCAAGGAUAACUUAUUAAGCUAAAAAUAUUUGAAGGAUAAAUUGGUAAAACUAAAAGGGUGGGAGUAAUAUAGUUAUUUAAGAUUACAUAGUAGUCAACUAUAUUCGAGGGGAUAAAUAUUAAAAGGUUUACUUAAAUGAUCAUAUAAAUCCCUUUAGUUUCUACAUAGUUAUACAGACCCUCUUAAUUUCAUAAAUUAUUAUUAUACUUUUAAUUAAAACAACCUAAAUGAAUAUAAAUAUAGUAAUAGGAUAGAAAUAAUAAAUAAAUAUCAGAUGAAACAAAUAAAAUAUUACAAUAAAUACAAUUAAUUAAAUAACAUGUAUGAUGAAAAUUUUAUUCAUAUUAAGUUAUUAUUAGUCUAUCCCGAUGGAUUUACUCAAAUCAAUUAAUCCAAAAUUUAAUUUUAAGAUUGAUAUUAAUAUGGACAUAAUUAAAUAAGAUGUUGUAAUAUAUACUACUUUGAAUGUUAAGUAUAAUUAUCUAAUAUUAUUAGUAUGUGAAAUAGAUUUUAAUAUUAUUAAAGAAUAUGACAAUAUAUAAUUUUGAAUUAAAUUUUUUAGUAUUCAUGAUAUUUUAUAAAUUUUAUGUGAUUUUAUAUAUUAUAUUUUUUAAUUUUAAUGUAUUAUAUAUGAUCAUUUAAGCAAAUUUUGGAGGUGCGGUGGUCUUUUCCCUAUUAAUUUUGUAGCAUAUUUAAAGUGUUAUAUCAUACAUGAUACAUCACACUUUUGUUAAAGUGUUAUGUUAUUAAAAAUUAAACUUUGCAUUUAUAAUAUACUACCAUUUUAAUGUAAAGGUAAUAGAAAAUAUGAAGAUAUUUUUAAGUAGUCAAUUGUAGCUUUCUUUUACAAAAUAGCAGUAUAGAAAUACAAUUGGUAAAAUGUAAUAAAAAUGGUAUGGAAAAAAGUUAGUAGAGGCAAUUAUUCUUGUAGUUGCUAAAACAUAUGAAGUGACACACACACACACAUAUCAAGUACUUGUAUGUUCCCCUAACUUUUAUUAAUGGGAAGGAAAUUAAAUUCGUAAUUUUUCCGGUGAAUUAUGAAUUGAUAAAUGAAAUAUAAAUAUUAGUAAAAAUUAAUUUGUCGACUAAAGAAGUAAACCAUAUUUUAUGGGCAUUUAAUACAUUAAUUUAAGGUCAAAUGAGAUAUAUCACAUGAUAUUUGAUACAGUAGUCCAAUUUUUCAACAUUUGCAUAUAGUUUCUAAGCUAGUAAUCUAAUAAAAUAUACCAAAUGAGAAUUUGAAGGCUAUUAUUUAUAUUUCACCAUUGGACAAACACCAUACAUUAGAAUAAAAAAAUCUCACAGUAGAGACGGCAUCUGUUUGCAUGUUUUGAAAAUAGAUUUUGAAAUUAGUUUAAUUACAUGAUAAUUAAAUUAUAUUAUAAAAUUAAGAAUAUGAUUUAAGUACUAUUUUAGCAAUUUUGAGUCUCACAUUGAGUAUUCAAGUUAAUUAAAUGUUGAAACUCUUUUCUAUUUGGCUUGAAAUCACUACUUAAUAAAAUUACAAAAAGUUGAUAAUGAAUGAUGUAGGACACAUAUGUAAAAUAAAUUUUAAAGUGUAAUUAAACAUUCCUAUCAAUAUUAGUUUCGUAUACAUGUUCAUAUAUUUUACUGAAACCAUAUAUAAUUAAAUUUUGUGUAAUUAAGUAAAAUAUAUUAUUCAAGUGAAUUUAUGAGAAUAUUUAAAAUUAUAGGGGUGGUCACUGAAAUUUGCCAAACUUGAGCCAACCGUGCACGAUCAAAUUCUCAAUAUGUUAGCCUGUUUGACUGUUGGCAAAAUAAAUUCCUAUCAGCAGUGGAACACAAUUCAAAAUCAUAUCUGCAUACAACGAACAAUAUCUCAUCAAAGAUCAAAUUAUACAUUUUUUACACCAAAGCAUAAAUAUCUAAAUUGUCCUUCUUCAACUCACCAAGCUCAUACCUAACAACAGCAAGAUUAAAUGUCAUUUGAUCCAUCUUUUUUAUUAAGCUUUAUCAAUUCUUCUCAUGGUUGCAAUUUUGAAAGCUCGCUUCGCUAUUUCCAUUUGCUUUUAUGCUUUGUUUGAGCUCCAUCUUUUCUCUCCAUCUACAUUUUACACUGUAAAAAAAAAUUAAAAAAAAUUACAAAGCUUCUUAUACUAGAAUAUGAGCAACAAUAUAAAUAAUAAACAAUAAAGUUAUGAUAGCACAGCAUACUCAUUAAAGUGCUUCUUUUUUUUUUUCAACAAGAAAUUACUACUGAAUUAAAGAAUUGGCUUUGCAUUAAGGUUUGCCUUCAAUAACUCAACUCCCCACUUGGGUUUUGUCGUUUUCUUAAAAUCUCUGCUCAAUCAAUUUAAAGAUCCAUUUUUUUUUUCUUUCCAAAGAUCUAAAAGAAAUGUCUUUUAUUGGUACCCAACAAAAAUGCAAGGUCUGUGAGAAGACAGUUUGUCCAGUUGAGCAGUUAUCUACUGAUGGGGUUGUUUAUCACAAGUCUUGCUUCAAGUGCUCUCACUGCAAAGGCACACUCAAGCUAAGCAAUUACUCAUCCCUGGAAGGUGUUCUUUACUGUAAGCCUCACUUUGAGCAGCUUUUGAAGGAGUCGAGUAACUUCAACAAGAAUUUCCAAUUACCUGCAAAGUCAGCUGAGAAGUUAACUCCUGAGCUGAGAAGGUCGCCUAGCAAAGUUGCCAGCAUGUUCUCUGGGCCCAAUAAAAAUGUGCUUCUUGCAGUAAAACAGUGUGUCCGUGGGAGAAGGUAGCAGCGGAAAACCAAGCCUCUCACAAGACAUGUUUCAAGUGCUCACAUGGUGGUUAUUCCAUUAGCCCGUCAAAUUACGCAGCCCUAGAAGGCAUCUUGUAUUGCAAACAUAAUUUCUCCCAAUUGUUCAAGGAAAAAGGCAGCUACAACGACCUUAUAUCAAAUCUGCUUCCAUGAAGCGUGCUGCAGUCUCUGUUCAAGAAGCUUGAACAUGCUAUGUUAUCUUCCAUAAAUCUUAUUUGGCGUGGGUUUUCUCUGGCUUGAGGGUGUGCUUUCUAUUUUGAUCCCUCUUGUUGUUUUUGCGGGGAACUACCAAACCUUCGGUUCCCUCUGCUUCUUUGGAUCAUCUUUGUUGGGACAAAUUUCAUGUAAUUAGAGAUACUGAUUUAUGGGAGGCAUAAUCCCAUGGUCGUAAAUUGACCAUUUUCUGGCAAUGUUCUUUUUAAAAAGAGAUGAGCAGUUGUUUAACAAAAAAAAUAGCUUGCCUUCAUCAUUGUAUGUUACCAAACUGCUAUGUAUAGCUGCUAAAUAUGAGCAUCCGAAAAUAUGGUGCAUCGUGAUUCAUGUAGUGCAAUAUGGCUACCAACGCAUCCUAAAUGGAGUAUUACUCAGGUAGUCGGCAAAAUAAGACAACAUAACUGAUUAAAAAAAAAACUACAUUAAUAAGUGGGCAAGAUCAUGCCAGUUUAACUUUUCGCGCGUCGCUGUUGGAGAUAAUCAAAUCGGGGCAGAGAAAAGGAGAAUGGAAUCAGAGGCUAAGAUUAAUAAGUGGGCUUCUGCUUGCUUUGCCCCUCUUUCUUAAGCGAUUGGUAGACUGCUGCUUCCACCGAUUAACCGGGUCUUCAACCACUGCUUUUACUGCCUGCCAUCUUGUUGUUUGUUGAAGGGAUGAAUUCGAGUCGAAAAGAGAAAGCGCGCUGAAAAAGAUAAAUCACUAGUGGUUAACUGCUGACUCAGCCAAGUGUUGGCUUCACUUGAUUCACCGAUUGAGGUUAUUUUGUCUUCUAUCUAAUGCAGCGAAGAAGCUUUGCUGCUUAACAUGCUGCAAUGCAACUUUAUCCUUUGAAGUUCACACUUCAGGGCUGCGCACUUUAUGUAAUCCUAUGAGUAAAAAGAAUUUGUUUUCAAAUGUGAAAAAAGAAAAUGUAAGGUAGUAACUAAAUAUAUUAUAGCAUCAAAGCAAGAUUUGAUAUGAAUUUAGUACAGCAAAGAACAUCAAAUCUGUGAUUCCUUGUCUAGUGUUACCAUCGAGCAACAAAUUUAAAAGCCUACCUAUCAAAUACACGAGGCAAUAAACGGAGAAAAAGUUGAAUUACAAGAACAAGUGUACAAUUCUUGUCAAUGUUUAAUGAUUCGUGAACUGAGACAGCAUUCAAGAAUCCAAUUUCAAUACAACAACGUAAAAGAUAAACAGAUGAUGAAUUUUAUGAGAUAAAGAAGGAGAUCGUGUUUUAUCGUAUCUCUAUUUUCUUUCUUUUUAAAUUUAUGAGAUAAAGCGGUUGGUCCAGUUACGGUGUUAUGCUAACGGGUUUAAAGGUUCCGAUCCAAUGAGUUAGGGUGGAAUAUGAAUAUAUAAAUUCCAUAGCAUGUAAGGACUAGGAUUUGUUUGUUCAUAUCAAGAAAAAAGAUCUGAAAAUUUGAUGAUCAGAAGAUAAAAACACUUAAACACGUUUAUUUCAGAGAAACAAACGACAACAUGAUACUAGUAGUAGUUAUUCUUUUCAUCCGAUAUAUUACAUUGUAAUAUCACUACUCGUUCCACUGGUUUCAUAUACACCAUCGACCAGCAACAUGAUAAUUUCGUGUCAGUUCAUUUUGUUUGUAGGAAAGAGCAGUGUAUUUCUUAGAGCUUGAAAAUAAUAAAAAGAUUUUAAAAUAUAAAUUGCAUAUUUGUUUAUUACUGUUGUUUGGUCUAAUUUCUUAUGUAGAAUUGCUUGUCAUUCUUUGGACGUUAUUGAUUAUAUUUUUGUCAGACUUGGCGUAUAUAUUCACACAUACGUUUUAUUUUGUCAUUUUGUAGAACAAUUUUACACGCCAUAUUAUCACGACUCUUCUCUGUCUGAAUAAGAAGAAAGCAUAAUGCGACCCUCCAAUAGCUUAAUCUAUGGAAUUAUCGUGUUUUGUAAGUUGAGGACCAAUGGCGUUUUGGCACAUCAUAUGAUAGACCACUAUAUUGCGUUGCUUUACAAAAGAUUAAUAUUUUUAAAUUUAUUAGUUAAGUUUAGGCUCAGUGGCACUUUAACUCAUGAUAUGAUAGUCCAGGUUUUCGAGGACCACUAUAUUGUAUUGAUUUAAAAAAAAUUAAUAUUUUUUAAUAUUAAUAUUCUAAAUUAUAUUCAGUUAAAAUAUUAAAUAUUAAAUACAUUCUUAAUAUUAAUAUUCUUAGAUGAAAUUCUUUUGCUGACUUAAGAAUAAAAUAUUAAAUAAUUUUAUUUUUCUUUUAUUGUGUAACGUGGACCCAAAAAAAAAAAAGGAAAUGAAUUUAAUAAAACCUUCAUUCCUCCACCAUCCAUGUUAAUUGUUUCCAAAUUCCAACCUCCGUACUCUCUUGAGGAGUUUCCCAUUCAUCAAUUAUUAUUUUUUAUAAUCCAUACCAUCCUGAUAUAAUUAAACACCAUUAAUAAUGUACCAGCCUUUAAAUAGUAAUUUAUUUAUUUAUCUAAUUCACCAAAUGUCAUUUCCGGUACAUAUCUCCAUUGGUAUCAAGAAGAGGCAGAACCCAAAGAAACGUUUCUUACAUCUUCAUAUUUGUGCGAAUUCAUCCUUUCAUUGAGAAUAACCAUUUCCAGGCAGCAGUUGGCAAUCAAUUCAUGCGCACGUCGAUGCUAUUCAUAGAUAUUAAAGACAAUGAUGAACCAAAGGUGAUAAAUCAUAAAUACAUAAUUACCAAACCUCCAUCCUUCUCUCAUUAUGAUUUGAUUUUAAAUGAAUUAUUGCUUGGUAACAUUAUUUCCAACCAUGCGUUGGAUGAAUGGAUCACAGGAAGACGCAAAUUGCAAAUUGAGGGUGGCAUUGGUGAAAAUGCUCUUAUUGCUCCUCAUAAGAAAAAGAAGGUACGUUUCUACUUUCGUGCCUCUUGUCUUGGAUUCAAACAAGAAGAAUUUGGCUCAAACAAGUCUUUCUACGUCAUGACAUUGCUGACAAGAUCAAAGAAAACAAUGAAGAGCUACGUAAUAUUGCCACUCAAAGAGACAUGUUUAAAUCUGAGAGUGGCAGUAAAAGUAGUGAAAGACCCAGGCGUGUACAGAGUACCUCCUUGAUUGAUGAGGAAGAGAUUUGUGGUAGAGUUGGUGAGAGGAAUGAACUCUUAAGCAAGCUGUUGUGUGAGAGUAGUGAGCAACAAAAAGGCCUUCAUAUCAUCUCAAUCGUUGGUAUGGGAGGCAUAGGAAAAACAACUCUUGCACAACUAGCAUGUAAUCAUGUUGAGGUGAAGAGAAAGUUUGACAAACUUUUAUGGGUGUGUGUAUCGGACCCUUGUGAGCAGUUUAGGAUUGCCAAAGCGAUCGCUGAAGCUUUAGGCAUUCCCUCUUCUAAUUUAGGUGAAUUUCAAUCUCUUCUUAAACUUAUAUCUGAAUCUAUUACUGGAAAACGAUUUCUUCUUGUCUUAGAUGAUGUGUGGGAUGGAGAUUGCAUAAAAUGGGAACCAUUCUACCUUUGUCUAAAGAAUGGUCUCCAUGGAAGUAAAAUUUUGGUUACCACACGUAAAAAAUCAGUUGCAUCUAUGAUGGGAUCUACUGAUACUGAUAUUAUCACUGUCAUGGAAUUGGCUGAAGAAGAAUGUUGUUCGUUGUUUAAGCGGUUAGCAUUUUUCGGUCCAUCUAUUAAUGAUUGUGAAAAAUUGGAACAAAUUGGGCGAAGAAUUGCAGGCAAGUUUAAAGGUUUGCCUCUUGCUGCAAAGACAAUAGGGAGUCUCAUGCGCUCUAAACAAAUUGAAGAAGAGUGGGAAAGGAUUUUAAAUAGUGAUUUAUGGAGAGUAGAAGAGAUGGAGAAAGGUGUUCUGUCCUCAUUGUUGUUGAGUUACAACGAUUUGCCGUCCAAAGUAAAAAUAUGUUUUUCCUAUUGUGCUGUCUUUCCAAAAAACUACAAUAUAAAAAAAGAUGAACUAAUUACAUUGUGGAUGGCUCAAGGUUAUAUUUUAGCAUCUUAGCUUCUCGCUCUUUCUUUCAAGAGUUUGAGAGAAGUUAUGAUAAUCGUAUUAUAGAGUGCAAGAUGCAUGAUAUGGUACAUGAUUUUGCCCGAUUUGUAAGUCAAAAUGAAUGUUUUUCGAUGGAAAUUAAUGGUAGUGAGGAACCAAACACCAUAAACUCUCUUGAUGAGAAGGUUCGUCAUUUAAUGUUGAUCAUUGGUAGGGAGGCUUCAUUUCGUGUCCCUAUUUGUAGAGUGAAAAGAAUUCGUAGCCUCUUAAUUGAUAAUAGUAGAACUUCUUGUUCGUAUUUUAAUGGUGAGAUCCUAGAAGAAUUAUUUAGGGAAUCGACAAGUUUAAGGGCAGUAGAUUUUUGGGGAUCAUAUGACGUAAGCCCAUUUUGGACUGUAAAGAUUCCAAGAAACAUAGAAAAUCUAGUACAUUUAAGAUACCUUAAUCUGUCUUGUCAGAAUAUAAGGAAACUACCGGAGACAUUAUGUGAGUUAUAUAAUCUAGAAAAGUUAUAUAUUACUCGUUGUCUGUAUCUUGAAGAAUUACCUGAAGGGAUUGGGAAGUUAAUAAACAUGAAGCAUUUACUAAAUUAUCGUACAGAUUCUUUAAGGUACAUGCCAGUAGGGAUUGGGAGAUUAACGGGUCUUCGGACCUGGGAUGAGUUCCAUGUGAUUGGAGGAGGAGGUGUUGAUGGUAGGAAAGCAUGUUGGUUUGAAUCUCUUAAAAACUUGAAACACCUUCAAGUAUGUGGUAUACGCAGAAUGGGUGAUGUAUCAGAUGUGGGCGAGGCUAAGCGAUUAGAACUUGACAAAAAGAAAUACCUCUCUUGUUUGAGACUUUGGUUUGAUAAGAAGGAGGAAGGAGGAGAAAGGAGGAAGAACGAGGACGAUCAACUUCUUCUUGAAGCCUUGCGACCACCCCUGGAUUUAAAGGAAUUACAGAUACGGUACUACCAAGGCAACACUGUUUCCCCAGCUGGAUGACGUCAUUAAUCAAUUUAAGGAGUUUAGAUCCCUCUUUGUGCGAAAAUUGCGAGCAGCUGUCUCCUUUGGGAAAAUUGCCGUCCGUCCUUUGAAAAACUCAGCCUAUUGCACAUGCGGAGUGUGAAAAGAGUGGGUGAUGAAUGUUUGGGGAUAGAAAGUGAUCAUCGUGGCUCAUCUUCAUCUUCAUUAGUUAUUAUUGCCUUCCCUAAAUUGAAAUCACUCACAAUUUCUACAAUAAUGGAAUUGGAGGAGUGGGAUUAUGGGAUUACAAGAACGGGAAACACCGUCAUCAACAUCAUGCCACGUCUUUCUUCCUUGGAAAUUGUUGCCUGCCCCAACUUAAAGGCACUGCCCGACCACAUUCAUCAAACGACAACAUUGAAGGAAUUGCGCAUUGUGCAUUGUGGGCUUCUGGAAGAACGUUACCGCACGGGGGAAGGAGAAGACUGGCCAAAGAUAUCUCACAUUCCCAACCUCGAGAUUUGGCCUUGACAAGUAAUUCCUUCUCUUACUCUGAUUUGCUUUGUUGUUCUUUUUAAUCUAAUCAAGAAGCAUAAAUAGCAUUUUGAAUUAAACUCUAUAUCAGAAAUCUGCAAUACAUAUUUUCUAAUAUUCUGAUUUUCAUAUCUUAUGAAUGUACGAUUCUAAUUUGCAAUAUUUAACGUUGCUGUAAAAUAUUAUUAAUGCAAUAUGAGUAAUUCUUUUGCAGGACAAGUGACCUACGUUUAGUUUGGCUUUGGAGUUGAGUAAUAACCUUUCGAGGUCGCCACUAUAAAAAAGCGAAGCUCAAUUUGCCACAGAUUACAUGUAUUGCCAUCAUUGACAAUUUUCUGGAUAAGUGAUGAAGGGUGAGAAUGGUGCUAGAAUAUUGAAUAAAGCUGUCGUGACAGAACUUUGGUUGAUGUCAAAAGGGGUAAAUUAUUGGCAUGCCUAGCUAAUUUGACCAAUACCUGAUUCAUAAGCCCACAUCAAUUUUGAUUUUGAGUUGAGUGAUUAAUUUUGAAGGUUUGCUUACUUAACUGGUAACCAAUUUCUUUUAACUAAAUGUAUCAUAUGAUGCAGGAAGCAGGGCAUGAUAUGAAAUGAGAAGCUUAUUAGUGGAAGGAUUGUCAGAAACAGAACCCAAAGAAAAUGAAAACAUUUCGAGGCAGCAGUUGGCAGUUGGCCGUGAAUGGAGCCCAUUGAAAAAAUUCCAAACCCAUUGCACUGCAAUUACGAUCGUGAGUAUGAUUGCACUGCAAUUUCGAAGCUUCUUCUCCUCCAUUUUUGUUAUUUGAUAUCAAGUGACAUCCGUAAGUAUGAUUGCAUUAAGCUGCUGCUGGGAAAUAUGAGGUUUUGAUGGCUGCCCAUGCUAUUGUCAGAAGCUGCGGUUCUUUUCAUCAGCCUGAACCUGGACCUGUCGCCAUGGAUAACUCAGGUUUUUUUUUUUUAAUCAACUACGUCAUCUUUUCCACUGUUUUGAAACCCUUAAGAUUAAACUUUAUUAAAGUUGUUUUAGUUAUCCAUGUAAUCAGGCUGAGGAUACUUAGCUGCCUAUUUAGGCAAAUGUCAGAAUUUAGUUUGUUCGCUGGGAACUGGUGUGGUGACAGCGUCCUGGCAAAGGAUGAUGAGAUAGUUUUUUGAUUGAAUAAAUUUUGGGAGCUUGAGUGUAUUGGGAUUUGCAAUUACAAUCAUCCUCUGCUUCAGGUGAUUUCUUCUCUUGCUCUGUCAUUGUUUGUUCUCUAAUUCAAAAGCAUAAAAUAUUUCAAUCAAUUUUUAUACCAGGAAUAUGCGAAAGUUUCUAAUAUUUUAUUUCCAUCUGUUUGCAUUGAUAACUUUGCGGCAUAUGUACUACUUAAAGAACAAUAGAAACAGAGCUCAGUUAAAAGUUUCUUCUGCCAUCAUAUUUGAAAAAUGAACCCAUUUCCAGGAAGCAAUUAACAGCAAAUUCAUAUAAAGUGUGGACAAUGAUGACAAAAGGGUGAUUAACAAUUUCAUUUUUUAUGAAAUUAAUCGUCUGGUUGGAGCUGAUAUUGUUAGAAGGCCAUUGAGCUAACCUAUGUCACUACUUGCCUAGAUUGCAGGGGGUCAAAACUCAAAAGAGGCAUUGAAUUUUUAAAGGCAUCCAACAAUUCUUGUGGCCAUAUAUCAAUUCAUGUAAGUUUGAAUGCAAUUAUUGGUGAAGUGGUUUCACUUCCUGUCUCUGAAUAAAAAUACUGAUUCUUUAAGGUACAUGGCACUAGGGAUUGCGAUAUUAACGAGUCUUCGAGCAUUGGAAGAGCUCCAUGUGAGUGGAGGAGGAGGUGUUGAUGGUAGCAAAGCAUGUGGGCAGUGGGCUUGAAUCUCUUAAAAACUUGGAACUCCUCCAAGCGUAAGUAUCCGUAUACUGGGAAAUGUGUUAGAUGUGGAUGAGGCUAAGAGAUUAGAGCUUGACAAAAUGAAAUACCUCUUUCGUUGAGACUUAAAUUUGAUGGGGAAGAAGAAAAAGAAGAGGGAAGGAGGAAGAAUGAGGAUAAUCAACUUGUUCUUGAAGCCUUGCAACCACCUCUGAAUUUGAAGGAAUUAGAGAUUUGGUCAUACAGAGGCAACAUUGCUUCCCCCAGGAUGAUGCAAAAAUUGAAGGAAUUUACCAAUCUAAGGAGUUUGAUACUGUAAAAACUGCAAAAACUUGAGAGCAGUUGCCUCCUUUGGGAAAAUUGUGAUCCUUUGAAAAUCUCAGCAUAUUGUACAUGGAGAGUGUGAGAACAGUGGGUAAUGAAUUUCUGGGAAUAGAAAGUGAUCUUCAUGACUCAUCUUCAUCUUCAUCAGUUAUUAUUGCCUUCCCCAAAUUGAAAUCACUUUCAGUUGAGGGAUUGAUGGAAUUGGAGGAGUGGGAUUAUGGGAUUAAAAGAACAGGAAACACCUUCACCAACAUUAUGCCACGUCUUUCUUCCUUGGAAAUUAGUGUGGGGUUAUGGGAUCGCACAACGACGUUGAAGGUAUUGCAGAUUGUGGCAUGUGGUACUCUAAGAAGACGUUACAGACAGGGUAGAGCAGAAGACUGGCCUAAGUUCUCUCACAUUCCAGACAUCAUGAUUGUGUGAAAAGAUGCCCUUGACAAAAUUCUCUAGGCGGCUACAUGGAGUACAAUCAUAAAAUGCUAAUGUGGCCACCCUGGUUCUUAAUUAAGGUUGUGAAAUAUUAUUGUAAAAGAUGAUUAAUUCAAUUUGAGUCAUUCGUUUGCUUUGAUAAUGAUAGUAAUUUUAUAUUUUGACAAUUUGCAAGGUGAGAAUGGUGCUGAUUGGUGAUACAGGAUAUGGUUCAAACACCAUUGAAUAAAGCUACGGACAUGGUGGCUCAACUUAGCUAGACUGCUGUCAAAAUUGGUAAGUUGGCUUGUCAAUGUAUUGAUGCUUUUGUUUUCUCUCAACCCUAAUUACCUUACCUUCAUUUAGUUUGGCUUUGGAGUUGAGUAAUAACUUUCAAGGUUCUCAAACAGAGCAGGACAACCGAAAAAAAAUAGCUUAAUUUGCUGCAGAUCACGUGUUACCAAUUAUUUAAGGUAAUUCUCGUUUACUUGCUUCUACACUAUAGAGUACGUGUUCUGGCUGGUUUAUCUAAUUCAUCAAAUGUUAUUUCCUUAUUGUUCCAUUGAUAUAUUUGUUAGAAAAUGAAACCAUUUCCAGGCAGCAGUUGGCAGUGAAUUCAUGCAAAUGUUGAUGCCAUUCAUAGAUAUUGAAGAUAAUGAUGAGCCAAAGGUGAUAAAUCAUUAAUGCAUAGUUACCAAAACCUCCAUCCUUCUCUCAUUGUAAUUUGAUUUGAAAUGAAUAAUUGCUAGGUAAUUGAAGCCAAUAUUGUUAGAAACGGUGUUGAGCUACCCAAGCUAAGAAGUUAGCUGCCAAAAAAUGCAGGGGAUCAAAAGAAGCAUUGCAGUGCUACAAUGCUGCUACUGGGAAAUUUAAAUCCCAUAUUAGACUUUCCUCACAUCAGAAGCUGUGGAUCUUCGGACAUCAGGUUUUUUCACAGUUCUUAAACUCUCAGGAUUAAACUCUAUUAAAGUUGUUGUAGUUGUCUACGUUCUCAGGUCAAGGAUUCUAAGCUGCCGAUUAAGGCAAAAUAUCAGAAUUCCCCUAUUAUUAUUUUUUUUCAUGUAAAUUUAUGUUGUUGUCUUCGCCCAUGAAUCUUAGCAAAAUUCUGAACCAAUUGUUUGCUAUUAUAAAUUUCAUUGUUAAAUAUUAAUUGUGAUGUUGGUGUUGAGUUUCUUUUAAAGUCACAGAAGCCUGACGAUUGAGUUCCGUGGGACUCUGAGAAGCAGUAAUAUUUUGAACAAGUGAAGGUUCUUCGUUUUUAAUUAUGUUCUGCACUUUUACAGUAUGUGCAGAUGUCUAAGAGGCAGGAUUUUAAUUUCUGUAAUGCUAAAUUUCGCAAAACAAUAAAAAAAAUAAAUGCAUGACAGUGACUUCAAGAAUUUAGAUUAUUGAAUUUGGCCAUUUCAAAAUUGAACCAGAGCUCAGAAAUGUAGAAUAUAAAUAUUGGAGAUUUGAACUUCAAUCAUUAGAUUUGAAGCUAAAGAGGUAAGCCAUUAAUUACAUCAAAUGAUUUGGAAAAUGGAGGAAUUGGAAAAAGGAAACUUUUUCUUUGUCCGAUUCAAGGGGAACGUCACAGAGAGGGGUAAAGAGAAGAGUAGCCUAAGAUAUUAAAGACAAUGUUGAGGCAAAGGAAACAUAAAUCCCAACCAUUGCAUGUGAGCAUGAUCACAAUAAAUCCCAACCAUCCAAACCAUUUUUUUGAGAAUUUUCAAUUGAAAGUGAAACCUUUUGACAUUUACCUAAUAAAGUAAGUUAAACGAGAGAAAUAAAGGGGGGAAAAAAAGUUGACUCAAGUCAAUACAGAAUUAUUAGUUCAACCUGGAGAAACUAAAACAGAGACACUAUAUUUUCAAAAAUAUCUGCAUUCAUCACCUUCUCCAACAGCUAAUGAGCUACACACGAAUCAUUUCCUUUUAGCAUUUUUGCAGCAUCAAUUUAUCCCCUCGUUUGUCAUCAGUUUCUCCCUUCGUUUCACCAAUACCAUGGCUGAUGCAAUCCUUUCCCCUCUCUUGGAGCAGCUGAUUAUCUUCGCUGCUGAAGAGAUGAGACAACAGGGGAAGCUGGUGAGUGUUGGAUGAGCGGAUCACAGCAUGCGCCAAAUUGCAAAUUGAGAGCGGCAUUGAUGACAAUGCUCUUGGUGCUCCUUAUCUGAAGAAGAAGGUAUAUUCCUGCUUUCCUGCUUCUUGCUUUGGUUUCAAACAAGUCUUUCACUGUCAUAACAUUUAUUGUAAUUUCAUUUGGAGAUAUGUAAUAUCUGUUGUCCAGAUAUAUUUCAUACACCAGCUGCUAAUAAUUCUGCUUGAAGAGAACUUGCAAAGGAGCUGUGUGAUGUAAUAGAAGACUAUAGUCUGGUCAAUUUUUUCAACCUUAGAUAUUAGGAAGUUAUGUAUUUCAUUAUCAGUUAUCAUUAUGAUUCUUAUCUUCAAAAAGAUAAAUGGAUGGCUUUGAAUGGCUUGUGUUUGAGGAUUUUAGUUGGACUUAUUUUGAUUGAAGUACUUUUUGACAAUAGAAUUCCUUCAUGAUUUAAACAUUCUUUUUAAAAUCAAAUAAUCAAAAAAAUUAAAUAAAUAAAUAGAGUAACUAACAAAUAUGAUUUUAUUUUGUUAGUGUUUUUCUCAUCAAAUAUACAUAAGAGUACUGUAAUUAAUUGCAACCAAUUUUUCACUAAAUACGCCUACAACAAACUAUUAAUAAUAAAGUGAUAGAAAAAUGCCUAAUUUUUCAUACUUUCUAAUUUCUUUUGGCCCUAAAAUAUAGGUAUUUAUGUCAUAAUAAGCCCAUGUGGAUCUCAAUGCCGAAAGUUCGAUAAAUGGCUUUCAAGGAUUACUUAUUAAGGUGGCGUUUGUUUUUUAACUUAAUGACUUAAAGUGACUUAACUUAAUUAAUUAAGUUAAUUAGAGGUGUUUGUUUUUAUAACUUAAUGAAACUUUUUAGAUAAUUUUGACUUAAUAAAAUAAGCUAAUUUUUUUGGCUUUUUACUUAAUUGAGAAAUAUGAAUUAAGUCAAUUACUUGCUAAUGUCAAAAAUAUCCCUGUUUUAUAAUUUAUUUUUCAUGUCUAUCCCAAAACUCACCCAUAGAUAAUUACCCCACAUAAAAAUAUCCCUAUUUUUUCUUUUUUAUAUUAUAUACGAUAAAAUUUAAAAUUUAUGGUAUUUUAUAUAUUAAAAUUCCAAAAUAAUUAUGUAUUCACUUGAAUAUAGUUUUACUUAUAAAUGUUAAAAUAUUGUGGUAUUUAAUAUAUUAUUUAUUUAACAUUCAAAUUUAAUAAGGAUACAAAUGUAAAAGUACAUAUUUUCAGCUUUUUAAGCUGAAAAAACAAACAACUUAAUACUUAUUUUUCGAGAUUCAGACGAAAAAACAAACAUAUUAUUCAGAUUCAGAUAUUCAGACCUAUUCAGAAUUCAGACUAAUUCAGGUCUACUCAGAUUUCAGAUAAACAAAACAAAUGCCACCUAAGUAAAAAAUAAUUCAAAGGACAAAAUGGUAAAACUAGAAGGGUGGAGUAAUAUGGCUACCUUGGGUUACAUAGUAAGUUGACUACAUUCAAAGUAUAAAAUAUUAGAAACUGAACGGUGGAGUAAUCGUCGUUUAGAUGAAUGAUAUGUCUAAGACGUUGCAUGCAUCAAGAAAAUUGCAGAUGAUUAAACCUUGCCAUCUAUGCGUUGUAUGAGGUUAUAGCAACUAUCUAUCUGGUCACCGUUUUCAAGUCUCAAUUGGUAGUCCAAAGAAAAGAAUGAUUUUGCAAUAGCAUUAAGUGUUAAUUGGACACAAAAGGAAGUGUUUUAACCACUUUAAGGAAAGUAAAUGUAAUUUUCUGUCCUAAAGAAAAGGUAAAUGUAUGCACUUUCAAUUAAUCUUUGGUCGACCAGCAACAUCAUAAUUUCGUUUAGGUUCAUUUUUGUUUCUUAGAGUUUGUAAAAAGAAUGGAAAGAUUUUAAAAUAUAAAUUUCAUAUCUGUUUAUUACUGUUGUUUGGUCUAAUUUCUUAUGUAGAAUUUUCAGAAUCUGUAGGACAUUAGUUUAUAAUUUUGAGAUUUUGCAGCCAUAAAUGUAUUUUUCUUUUUUUGUUGCCAUUUUAUUUUGCUCCUUUAUCUAUGUGCAUGUUGACUGGCUGCAGUGAGUGAAAAUUUACCUAUAUAUGCUGGCUAUUCUUGGACAAUAUUAGAGAAAAUAAUCAUAUUAUUUCGCGUGAUGUGAACUUCCAUAACUUAUCAAUUGAAUUGCUGUAAAAUAUUAAAUAGUUUUAUUUUUCUUUUAUCGUGUAACUUGGACCAAAAAAGGAAAUGAGUUUAACAUGACCCUCAUUCCGGCACUAUGCCUGUUUUUCUUGUAUUGAUGACAGUGCUCUUGGUGCUUCUCAUCUGCUUCUUGCUUUGGUUUCAAACGAGUCUUUCUCCGUCAAGACAUUUAUUGUAAUUUCAUUUGGAGACAUCUAUCGUUCAAUAUAUUUCAUAUGCAAGCUGUUAAUAAUUCUGCUUGCAGAAAGCCUACAAAGCAGCUGUGUGAUUUAAUAGAAGACCAUAGUCUCGUCAAUUUUUCAACAUUAGAUAUUCAGUGUCAUAUUUGGCUGCAUCUAGAAGCCACUGCAUCUAGAAGCCUUGAAUAAGCAAAGUUGGCUUUGACAGCCGGCCAAAGAAAAUGUUGAAGAAUUUGGCAGCAGCAAAUUUGGAAUGAAGAAAAAGAAGAAAGAAGAAAAUAGAAGAAUGAAGACGGUGGUAAAAAUAAUAAUUUAAUAGCCAUUUUUUUGGCUAUAAAAGGCAGAGCUCCUCAUUUCAUUUUGUAUCCAAUUCCAUUCAGAGAGCAAUUUAGGGAGUUGAGAGAGAGUUUGAGAGCUUGCAUUUAUAAGCUCUUGUUACAGUGAUUGAGAGAGUUUGGGUGUAUUGGGGUUUUAGGGAAGUGAGCUAAAAUACUACAAUACUUGUAACUCCUUUUCACUAGUAAAAUAUUUCCUUCUGUCUUCGCCCGUGGAUGUAGGCUAAAAGCCGAACCACGUAAUUUCUGGUGUCCUCUAUUGUGCUGGUUCUUUAUUUUUUCUUCCAAUUUCAUUUUAGCUGCGGUCCUACUUCACCCACCAAUUUCCUAACAGUGGUAUCAGAGCCAGGUUGUAUUUUUUGGAGUCGGGAACUGUUCCGGUCCUACUUCACCCACCAAUUUCCUAACAGUGGUAUCAGAGCCAGGUUGUAUUUUUUGGAGUCGGGAACUGUUCACGUAAGGGGUACUAUUCACGUAUACGGCACCGUACACGUAUAUGAAACUAUUCACGUAUACGGUACUGUUCAUAUAUACGGUGUUGUUUACAUAGACUGUACUAUUCACGUAUAUGGUACUAUUCACGUGAAGCGGUGGAAGCGAUCCAAGAAUUUUACGGUGCAACUAUUCAAGGUGGUACACUAACUUGUGUGCAGUAUUUAUCAACAAAAUGGCGGCAAAGUAUGAAAUUGAGAAAUUUAACAACUAUUCAAGGUGGUACACUAACUUGUGUGCAGUAUUUAUCAACAAAAUGGCGGCAAAGUAUGAAAUUGAGAAAUUUAACGGAAAUAAUUUUUCGUUGUGGAAAAUGAAGAUGAAAGCUGUAUUGAGGAAAAAUAAUUGUUUGGCAGCAAUUGGAGAAAGGCCCAUGGAGAUAACUGAUGACAAGUGGAACGAGGUAGACGGCAAUGCCAUUUCUGAUCUACACUUGGCAGUUGCGGAUGGAGUAUUAUCCAGUGUGGCAGAGAAAAAUACGGCGAAGGAAAUAUGGGAUACUCUCACAAAAUUGUAUGAGGCCAAGUCACUACACAACAAAAUUUUCUUGAAGAGAAAACUCUAUAUUCUUCGAAUGACGGAAUCUACAAUGGUGACCGACCACAUCAACACAUUGAAGACUCUAUUUUCACAACUCACAACGUUGGGUCAUAAUAUAGAGGAAAAUGAACGUGCACAGCUUCUACUUCAAAGUCUACCAGAUUCGUAUGAUCAACUCAUCAUCAACUUGACGAACAACAAUCCAGUGGAGAGUCUAGUUUUCGAUGAUGUUGCAGCCUCCGUAUUAAAUGAGGAGAGCAGGCGGAAAAAUAAGGAAAACAGACAAGCAAGUUCGCAGUAAGCAGAAGCGCUAUCGGUGACGAGAGGGAGUUCAACGGAACGUGGCCCCAGUGGGAGUCAAAAUCAGGGUAGAUCAAAAUCCAGAAGUAAGAAGAAUGUUAAAUGCUACAACUGUGGCAAGAAAGGGCAUGUCAAGAAAGAGUGUUGGAGUAACCAGAAGAGAAGAGAGGGCAAAGAACCUGAGUCAUCAAAUGCUCAGGGGUGUGUAGCAAGUACCUCAGAUGAUGGCGAAAUUCUCUACAGUGAGGCAACAACUAUUUCAGAAGGCAGAAAACGACUUUAUGAUGUCUGGCUUAUAGACUCAGGAGCUACCUAGCACAUGACCUCUAGGAGAGAAUGGUUCCACACAUAUGAACCUAUCUCAGGAGGAUCUGUAUAUAUGGGUAACGAUCAUGCCUUGGAGAUCGCUGGUAUUGGUACUAUCAAAAUAAAAAUGUUUGAUGGUACAAUUCGCACAAUUGGGGAGGUACGACAUGUCAACGGCCUGAAGAAAAAUCUAUUGUCUUUGAGACAAAUAGAUAGUCAUGGGUACAAAACUCAUGUGGAGAAUGGAAUUAUGAAGAUCGUUAAAGGCGCGCUUGUAUUGAUGAAGGCAGAAAAGAUCGGUGCUAAUCUAUACAUGCUUAAAGGAGAAACGCUACAGGAGGCAGAUGCGUGUGUCGCAUCAAAUGGAGAAGAGUCAACGAUGAUGUGGCAUCUCAAACUUGGCCACAUGUCAGAACAAGGUUUGAAGAUUCUCUCUGAGCGAAAAUUGCUUCCGGGGCUCAAAUCGGUAAGUUUACCAUUUUGCGAGCAUUGUGUUACAAGUAAGCAGCAUAGAUUAAAAUUCAGUAGAUCUAUUGCUAGAAGUAAAUGCAUUCUAGACUUGAUUCAUUCUGAUGUUUGGGAAUCACCGGAUAUAUCCAUGGGAGGUGCAAAGUACAUGGUGACUUUCAUUGAUGAUUAUUCCAGAAGAUGUUGGGUGUAUCCAAUUAAGAAAAAGUCAGAUGUAUUUCCAGUGUUUAAAGAAUACAAAGCGCGGGUGGAACUUGAAUCUAGUAAAAAGAUCAAGUGCUUAAGGACGGAUAAUGGUGGAGAGUAUACAGACGGCGAGUUUCUUGCUUUCUGUAAGCAAGAAGGUAUUCAGAGGCAGUUCACGGUGGCAUACACUCCUCAACAAAACGGAGUAGCGGAGCGGAUGAACAGAACUCUUACAGAAAGAAUAAGAGCUAUGUUGAGGACUGCUGGUCUACCCAAUUCAUUCUGGGUAGAAGCAGCAAAAACCGCCUGUUAUAUAGUAAAUCGGUCGCCAUCUACAGCUAUUGGGUUGAAGACAGCGAUGGAGAUGUGGACUGGAAAGCCAGCUGAUUAUUCCUACCUACAUGCAUUUGGAUGUCCUAUGUACGUGAUGUACAAUGCCCAAGAAAGAACAAAGCUGGAUGCAAAAUCUAGAAGAUGUAUCUUCUUGGGGUAUGCUGAUGGAGUAAAGGGGUAUCGUCUGUGGGACCCCACUGCCCACAAGAUCGUCAUCAGCAGAGAUGUUAUCUUUGUAGAAGAUCAACUACAAAGAAAAGAUGGAGAUGAUGGCACUGUAAAAGAAAAGUCAGAGACUGUACCAGUAUAUGUCGAAAAUAAUCUAGAAGAUUCAAAUUCUUCUGAAGUAGCACCAGAGCACGAUGAACAAGAACCAGUCGAGUCCGAGGCUCCAGAAGUUCGUCGGUCAACUCGUGAGAGACGACCGCCGGCGUGGCACUCGGAGUAUGUCACAGAGAUCAACGUUGCAUACUGUCUUCUAACAGAGGAUGAAGAGCCUUCAACUUUCCAUGAAGCUUUAAACAGCUCAGAUGUUGCUUUGUGGAUGACAGCAAUGCCGGAAGAAAUUGAAGCUCUACACAAGAACAAGACAUGGGAACUUGUACCACUACCACACGGAAGAAAAGCCAUUGGAAACAAAUGGGUCUACAAGAUCAAACGUGAUGGCAAUGAUCAAGUGGAGCGGUAUCGUGCGAGAUUGGUGGUGAAAGGAUAUGCUCAGAAAGAAGGUAUUGACUUCAACGAAAUAUUUUCUCCGGUGGUUCGACUCACAACAGUCAGAAUAGUCUUGGCGAUGUGUGCUACAUUUGAUCUACAUCUUGAGCAGUUUGAUGUGAAAACUGCAUUUCUUCAUGGAGAACUUGAAGAAGAAAUAUAUAUGCUCCAACCAGAAGGUUUUGCAGAAACAGGAAAUGAGAACUUGGUUUGCAGGUUGAACAAAUCUCUAUACGGUCUCAAACAGGCGCCGAGGUGUUGGUAUAAGAGAUUUGAUUCCUUCAUCAUGAGCCUUGGAUACAACAGACUCAGUUCAGACCAUUGUGCAUAUUACAAGAGGUUUGAAGAUAAUGAUUUCAUUAUUUUGCUAUUGUAUGUGGAUGACAUGUUGGUAGCAGGUCCCAACAAAGAUCGAAUCCAAGAAUUGAAGGCACAGUUGGCUAGGGAGUUUGAAAUGAAGGACUUGGGACCAGCAAACAAGAUUCUAGGGAUGCAAAUUCACCGAGACAGAAAUAAUAGGAAGAUUUGGCUUUCUCAGAAAAAUUACUUGAAGAAAAUCUUGCGGCGCUUCAACAUGCAAGAUUGUAAGUCAAUUUCUACCCCACUUCUUGUUAAUUUCAAAUUAUCCUCAAGUAUGUGUCCUAGCAAUAAAGUGGAGAGGAAGGAUAUGUCUCGAGUACCGUAUGCAUCAGCAGUGGGAAGUUUGAUGUUCGCUAUGAUAUGUACUAGACCAGACAUUGCACAAGCAGUGGGAGCAGUCAGUCGAUACAUGGCGAAUCCUGGUGGAGAGCAUUGGAUAGCUGUGAAGAGGAUUCUGAGAUACAUCAGAGGAACCUCAGAUGUUGCAUUAUGUUAUGGAGGAUCAGAGUUUACUGUCAGGGGCUAUGUGGAUUCAGAUUUUGCAGGAGAUCUUGAUAAAAGGAAAUCCACUACUGGUUAUGUGUUUACACUUGCGGGAGCAGCUGUAAGCUGGGUUUCGAAACUGCAGACCGUUGUGGCUUUAUCUACAACAGAAGCAGAGUACAUGGCAGCUACACAAGCUUGCAAGGAAGCUAUUUGGAUACAAAGAUUAUUGGAGGAGCUCGGGCACAAACAACAGAAAAUUUCUGUGUAUUGUGACAGUCAGAGUGCCUUGCACAUUGCAAGGAAUCCAGCCUUUCAUUCCAAGACAAAGCACAUAGGAGUUCAGUAUCACUUCAUUCGUGAAGUAGUGGAAGAUGGAAGUGUGGAUUUGCAGAAAAUCCAUAUGAAGGAGAACCUAGCAGAUGUUUUUACCAAGCCAAUAAAUGCUGACAAGUUUAUCUGGAGUAGAUCCUCUUGUGGCCUAGCAGCAACGUAGGCAACAUGAUUAUGGCGAAGCAUAAAGGAUGGUGUGGAGAUUGAUUGAUUCUCAAUCUAAUCUCCAAGUGGGAGAAUGUCAUAUUUGGCUGCAUCUAGAAGCCACUGCAUCUAGAAGCCUUGAAUAAGCAAAGUUGGCUUUGACAGCCGGCCAAAGAAAAUGUUGAAGAAUUUGGCAGCAGCAAAUUUGGAAUGAAGAAAAAGAAGAAAGAAGAAAAUAGAAGAAUGAAGACGGUGGUAAAAAUAAUAAUUUAAUAGCCAUUUUUUUGGCUAUAAAAGGCAGAGCUCCUCAUUUCAUUUUGUAUCCAAUUCCAUUCAGAGAGCAAUUUAGGGAGUUGAGAGAGAGUUUGAGAGCUUGCAUUUAUAAGCUCUUGUUACAAUGAUUGAGAGAGUUUGGGUGUAUUGGGGUUUUAGGGAAGUGAGCUAAAAUACUACAAUACUUGUAACUCCUUUUCACUAGUAAAAUAUUUCCUUCUGUCUUCGCCCGUGGAUGUAGGCUAAAAGCCGAACCACGUAAUUUCUGGUGUCCUCUAUUGUGCUUGUUCUUUAUUUUUCUCCCAAUUUUACUUUAGCUGCGUGUCUGCUUCACCCACCAAUUUCCUAACAUUCAGCUCAUCAGCUUCUCAUGAAUUCUUUCCUGAGUUUCUUUGAAUUAUUUGUGAUGCAAUAACUUGUGCAUUUGAGAAACUGUUCUCUGGAAUUCUUUCUUGAGUUUCUUUGAAUUAUUUGUGAAUAAGUUGUUAAUCGGCUGCUUCUCUUCAAGAUAAGGAAAGUGUUGCAAACUGGUGAAGCAGCUGAUAGAUAAAAGCAAUGCCAGUGUGGUUGAAUUCAGCAAGAUUGGCGUUCGUGAUGCAAACGAGAUUACAUAGUGGUUAAAAGCAAUAAUCAAUGUUUUAACCAUAAAAACUUCUUUCCACCUAUUUUCGGCCUUGUGAUUCUCAUAUCCAUAGAACUUUUUGGUAAUUUAAUCAUAUUUCAUCGUAUGCAUCUGCAUCUUCUAACCAGUGCGUUUGAGAAACUAAUUUUGCUGUUAGGCAGGUUUCAAGCUUGAUUAAUGUAUUUUUCAUAAAUGUACCAAAGUUAUGUAAACCAAAUAAUAAAAAAUAAAUAAAAGGAAAUGAGUUUAAUAUAACCUCCAUUCCAGCACUAUGCACGUUAAUUGUUCCCCAAGGACUCUCCUGAUUCUUAUUCCCAACCUCCAUGCUCUCAAGAGGAGUUUAGCACCCAUCAAUUUUUACUUUUGAAAACUCGUAAUGGUCUGAUAAAAUUAAACAACAUUAAAAAUGUUACCAGUCAUUAAAUAGUAAUUUAUUUAUUUACUUUGCCACCUAAAGGAAUCCUGCUGUAAAUAGAGGUUAAAAAUUUUAUUAGAUCUACUUACCUUUGUUCAUUCAGCAAACACAUACAAUUUACAACUAGUGAAUCUAUCCGUUGACAAUUGUGGAUUAAAAUUAUAACACCUGAAUUCAAACAUAUUUUACGAAGUUAUGAAUUUGUUCAUACUUCAAAUGAUUUUUUUUCCCCAAGCUAAUAAAGCUACCACAUUGAUCAAAUGACGACGUUGAAGGAAUUGCGUAUUUUUCAAUGUCCUUUUCCAGACACACGUUGGAGAGAGGGAAAGAAGAAGACUGGCUUAAUUAAGAUAUCUCACAAAGAUUAUUGAGUUAAAAUGUUAUUGUAAAAGAUGUUUAAUACGAUAAUAGUACUUCUUUUGCAUUGUUAUAAUAAGGUUGGUAGGUUUCCCCAGAGGAUGGAUCUGGCUCGCUAGUCUCCAUUUGGGAAGAUGCUAAUUAUCGGCCAUAAAAAAGUCAAGGGGUUGUGGCUCUUCUGUGGCCCAGAAAUUCCUAAUCUCAUAUCUCAAACUUGGGCAUUAUGUAAAUAUGUAUUUUUGAGAAUUAAACUAUUGCGUAGAAAAAUUUUGAGCCAUUGUAAUCAUUUUAUUUUGCUAAGAGAAAAUUUUACUUUGUGUUUCGAUUUGACUUUUGUUUUGUUUGUGAUAAUAAGAUUCAUACCAAUGUGAUUACACACCUAUCAUGCUUCUAUUUUCAUUUGCUUGUCAUGAUAGAUCAACAUGCUCAAAAAUAUUUAUUUAGGUUGGAAAUAUUUGAAUCCACUAAAAUACUAUACAAACCCAUUUUAAAAUUUUAAAAAAAAUGAUUAUCAUAAUACUCGUGAAGAUAACGCGAUAUCAUACAUAAAAUAAAAUAUUUCGCAAAAAAGAUAGGAUACAAAUCUUAAGUAAGUGGGUAUAAAAAAUAUUUUAGUGAGUUCAAGUAGCACUAAUGCCCCCUUAUCAAAAAAUAUAUAAAAAUAACUAGUCUGAUUGGGUAUACCGUUGGCUAAACUAAAGUUCUGAAGAUAUAUAUAUAUAUAUAUAUAUUGAUAAUUUAUAAUGUACAUUAUAGAGAAAGAUUUUGAAAGUAAUAUUUUUUUAGUAUUAUUAUAUAAUAUUUUGUAAAAAGUAGAGAGAGUGAGCAAAACCAAAUUAAUUUUCUAACCCCCCUCCUUUAGGAUUUAAACUCAUUUUUUAGUGUCGCCGGCCAUUCAAAUUUUCUAGUUGAAUAGGCUAAAUUGCAUGAAAUUGUGCUAGCUUAGCUUGAUUCUAGAAAUUUCCAGUACACUGUAACACAUUCCCACACUUGUACAUAGCUCGAAAUUCUCUAGAAUUUACUAUAGUAGCGUAACAUGUAGCUUGUACAUAGGUUUUUCUAUAACACUCCAGGCAUUACUAGGCAUGAGAGCUCUCACCAAGCUUUGAGAACUCUCUAGACAUAAAACAUUCUAGCGCAAGCCUACCCUAAAAAUAGGGCAUGAAGCUUGCCAUUCGAGCAUACAACAAGUAAGAACAAUUCAAGCAUACUUGUAAGCUCUCAAACUCUCUUAUACACACUCUUGUGAAUAAUAUAAUUUCCCUUUGGCUAUAUUGUUCUCUCUUCUCUCUAGUUUUUUCGAAAGCAUCAUAACUUAGCUAGUCGAAAAAUUCAAGGCUUACUUUGCAACUAUCUCGUAAAAGUUGUUUAAGUACCACAGGAGUUUGCUGUACAAAAUACUCAUCCCGUGACAUUAGUCAAAUAAAAUUGUUUGAAAGCCACUUACCCGGAUAUUAUUCUUUUAAUAUGCAAUCUUUUAAUAUAAACUUUUGUCUUAAUUUUCUAUCUCCUACGAUAAAUUUUAGAAUUUUAAAAAUUUUAAAAAUUAAUAACUAUUAGAUAGAGCAUUUACUGUUAAAAGAAAUCUAUAUAGAUAUAUAGAUACAUAGUAAUAUAAAAACUUACUACAAUAUAAUGUUUUUAGUUUCUUAUUUUUUCAAGAUAAAAUUCAAAGACACAAGUUAAAUGUUGUGGAAAAUCUUCCACCCAUACAAGAAAUCGUCACAGCUAAAUGCAAACCGAGCUAAAGUAUUAGUUGUUUUAUUACAAUCUCUAAAAAGAUGAGCGAUUCCAAAAUCUUUCUUUGUAACAAUAAGCACUACAGUUCAGCAACUAUCCAAGUCAAAAGCAACUCAAUGUGAGUGCUAAGCUAAAUCAAUUUCAUUAACAAAUUAGAUGCCAAAGAGCAAGGCUUCGUCCUCAAUUAUAUUGACAUUAUCUGAGUAAACUCUAAAUACCACAAUCAACCCCAAAAAACAUGACUAACUAUUGUGUUUAAAAUAAAUUUUUUUUUUUUUAGAUAUCCGUUGGUAGUAUCUCUUUAGAUGAAUAUAGGAGAUAAAAUAAAUAAAUAUUUAUUGUGUAAAUAAAAAUAAAUAAAUUUUUUUGAACGGAAAAAAUUCCCAAGAACUAAAUUGUUCAAACGUUUUUUAACAUCAUGUGUUUCUAAUAAUUUAGGGUUGGGCAUUCAGUUCGGUUUUUACCGAACUGAACAACUAAAUUAAAUUGAAAUUACCCUAUUCGGUUCAAUUGAAUAGACAAAAACUAGAGCUGGCAAAACGGGUCAUCGGGUCGUGUUCAUGUCGUGUCAGUUUCGUAUCGUGUCAAAUUUAGUUCAACCCAAACCCGACCCAUUUAAUAAUCAUGUCAAAAUAUUGAGACCCAAACCCGAUACGGAAAAAUAAUCGGGUCACCCAAUAACCCGCUGAAUAUCUAUAUAUUUAACAAAAGUUACAUCAAAUAUUUACACAUUAUCAUACAUGCGUAUGUACAUACAUAAUUUAUCGAUAUUAUAAAAUAUACAUAUCUACCAAAAUAUUACACAUUUACACUAUUGAGGUUUUAAUUAAUUAUAUAUAUAUAUAAUAUUAUAUAUUAAUAUUAUAAAAUAUACAUAUCUACCAAUAUUUUAUACAUUUACACUAUUGAAACUCUAAAUGUGUUUAAAAUUUUAUAAAUAAAAUAUUGUACUUAUAUUCAUCCUUUUAAAGAAUAUAAAUAAAAGAGAAAAUCAUCUCUAAUAUUUAAGUUUUGAUGACAAAAACCUACAAAUUAUUUUAAAAUAGAAAAUAUAAUCGGGUCAUUAGUCGGGUAAAUGGGUCAAUAAUUUUAACCCUAACCCGACACGGAAAAAAAUCGUGUCGACCCGAACCCGACCCAUUUAAUAAUCGUGUUAAAUUCAACGACCCAUACCCAUUUAUUUGUGUCGUGUUCGUAUCGAGUAAUCGGAUCGUGUCAAAUUUUGCCAGCUCUAACAAAAACCGAACAGUUUAUAUUUUUAUGAAUUGAAUGAUUUGUAUUUUAGUUUAGUUCGGUUCGGUUCUGGAUCUAAACCGAACCGAACCGUAAACCGUAAACUGCCCACCCUUAAAGUUUCCAUUAACCGCCGUUGCAUUGCUCAAAUCACAGUCUCUCGCUUUCAGCUCAGUCAGAGUUUCCAGGUCCAGAGACUUGCCGCUGACUGAGAGCUUUUUAGUAGCAGGUCUACAAAUAAUGGAAUAGAGCUGAUUUAAUGAUUAAUUUAUUUCCUUUUUCAAUUUCUUUUGAUUGCCAUGUAAUCUGGAUAAGUUAAACGUGAAUUGUUUAGUGCAGAUUAAAUGUUCGACGAAUUUCCCGCAAGAAUAUUAAGUUAAAGAGAAAAAAAGAAAACAAUUGAGCGUGAGCGAGAAUGGUGUUUGGCCAAGUGGUGAUUGGUCCGCUCGGCUCGGGAAAGCCCACUUACUGCAAUGGCAUGUCUUAGUUUCUCAGCCUUGUUGGCAGGUAACUUCGUUUCUUGAUUUCAAGCAGCUUUCUCUUUGAUGGCCAAAAAUAUUGAUUUGGGCUUUGCCCUUUAAAUUAAUGUAAGAGCGGUAGGGAAUAAUCGAGUUAUAGUCUUAGCUUUAAGUGAACAUUGAUGAUAACAUGCAUGUGAAGGUUGUAUGUGUUCAGCGGCAAGUUGUAUGCCAAUUUGGUCUAUAUGGUUUUUUUGUUGGUAACUUAUUAAUUUUUAUGCAGGAAGGUUACAGUCAUCAAUUUGGAUCCUGCUAGUGAUAGUUUGUCGUAUCCUUUGUCAGAACCUUUUUACAAAUGCUGUGGUUUGUUGUACUAUAAUUAGUUCAAUCGGAAACUUCCUUGAUGUUAAUAUAGAUAUGAGUGUGCUGUGAAUAUUGAGGACCUCAUUAGACUAAGUGAUGUGAUGAAGGAGCAUUCACUUGGUCCCGAUGGAGGUUAGUCAUCCUAUUGUUGUUUACUCUUUCUUGCUUUAUCACGCAAUGAUAUUCCUUUGCUUUACAAAAAAUUUCAUGAAAUUAACUUCAAUCAAGUGGCUACCUGUUGAGAUUUUAUGGAUAAUGAUUUGGUAGAGUUUAUAUGCCCUCUUCUUUCUUUUUGCAGUGAUAUGUUUGUAUUCAAUGUGCUUGUACUUAUUCUACGAUUUCUAACGUAGGUGUUUUUAUGAUAAACUAGGUCUUGUGUAUUGUAUGGACUAUCUAGAGAAGAUUAUUGACUGGUUGCAGUCGAAAUUGGAACCACUUUUGAAAGGUAAGAAGAGGCCAUUUUGCUUCAUUCUAAUGCCAAUAAUGCUGUCAUGAGACUCAUAAAAAUUGUUAAAACGUUAAUGUUUUUGGUAUUUUGCAGAUCAUUAUCUUCUGUUUGAUUUUCCUGGCCAAGUUGAAUUAUAUUUUCUUCAUUCCAAUGCCAAGAAUGUUAUAUGAGACUCAUAAAGAAGUUAAAUCUCAGGGUAUUGUUACAUCUUACAUAUAUGAAGGGACUCAAAGAGUUGAGAUGAAUUCAUCUUUGUUAUUUUGAUGCCAGAAUUGUGCAAUUCUCAGUUGGUUCCUUUCACAUGCAGUUGACUGCAGUGCAUCUAGUUGAUGCGCAUCUUUGCAGUUGUUUCUAAAGCUGGUACAUUUAAGAUACCUUAAUUUGUCUUUUCAGAAAAUAGUGAAACUACCGGAGACAUUAUGUGAGUUAUAUAAUCUAGAAAAGUUAGAUAUUACUCAUUGUGAGUAUCUUGAAGAAUUACCUGAAGGGAUUGGGAAGUUAAUAAACAUGAGGCAUUUACUAAAUAAAGGUACUAAUUCUUUAAGGUACAUGCCAGUAGGGAUUGGGAGAUUAACGGGUCUUAGGACCUUGGGUGAGUUCCAUGUGAGUGGAAGAGGAGGUGUUGAUGGUAGGAAAGCAUGUAGGCUUGAAUCUCUUAAAAGCUUGGAACACCUUCAAGUAUGUGGUAUAUGUAGACUGGGUGAUGUAUCAGAUGUGGGCGAGGCUAAGCGAUUAGAACUUGACAAAAAGAAAUACCUCUCUUGUUUGAGACUUCGAUUAGAACGAAGACAAUCAACUACUUCUUGAAGCCCUGCGACCACCUCUGGAUUUAAAGGAAUUAGAGAUACAGUUCUACCGAGGCAACACUGUUUUCCCCAGCUGGAUGACGUCAUUAACCAACUUAAAGAGUUUAGAUCUCUCUUUCUGCGAAAAUUGCUAGCAGCUGCCUCCUUUGGGAAAAUUGUCAUCCCUUGAACAGCUCUUCAUAUCGUACAUGUCGAGUGUGAAAAUAGUGGGUGAUGAAUUUUUGGGGGUAGAAAGUGAUCGUCAUGACUCAUUGUCAUCUUCAUCAGUGAUUAUUGCCUUCCCCAAAUUGAAAUCACUUAGUAUUGAGGGAUUGAUGGAAUUGGAGGAGUGGGAUUAUGGGAUUACAAGAACGGGAAACACCGUCAUCAACAUCAUGCCCCGUCUUUCUUCCUUGGUAAUUGAUAGUUGCGACGAAUUAAAGGCACUGCCCGAUCACAUUCAUCAAACGACAACAUUGAAGCGAUUGUGGAUUUUGAAUUGUGGGCCUCUGGGAGAACGUUACCGCAAGGGGGAAGGAGAAGACUGGCCUAAGAUAUCUCACAUUCCCAACACAGAUAUUCGAUAAAAAGGAUUCGCGCAUUCGAGAUUUGGCGUUGACAAGUAAUUUCUUCUCUUACUCUGAUUUGCUUUGUUGUUGUUUUUAAUCUAAUUGAGAAGCAUAAAUAGCAUUUUGAAUCAAGCUGUAUAUCAGAAAUCUGUAAUACAUAUUUUCUAUUAUUCCGAUUUUCAUAUCUUAAGAAUAUACGCUUUUAAUUUGUGAUUUGGGUAACGUUACUGUAAAACAUUAUUAAUGCAAUAACCUUUCGAGGUCGCGACUAUAAAAUGGUGAGAAUGGUGAGAAUGGUGCCCCUUGAAUAAACUUGUCGUGACUGAACUUUGGUUGGCAGUUGGCCGUGAAUGGAGCCCCUUGAAAAUAUUCCCAACCCAUUGCACUGCAAUUACGAUCGUAAGUACGAUUGCACUGCAAUUUCGAAGCUUCUUCUCCUGCAUUUUUGUUAUUUGCUAUGAAGUGAUAUUCGUAAGUAUGAUUGCAUUAAGCUGCUGCUGGGAGAUAUGAGGUUUUGAUGGCUGCCCAUGCUAUUGUUAGAAGCUGCGGUUCUUUUUCAUCAGCCUGAACCUGGACCUGUCGUUUCCACUGUUUUGAAACUCUUAAGAUUAAACUUUAGUAAAGUUGUUUUAGUUAUCGAUGUAAUCAGGCUGAGGAUACUUAGCUGCCUAUUUAGGCAAAUGUCAGAAUUUAGUUUGUUCGCUGGGAACUGGUGUGGUAACAGCGUCCUGGCAAAGGAUGAUGAGAUAGUUUUUUGAUUGAGUAAAUUUUGGAAGCUUGAGUGUAUUGGGAUUUGCAAUUACAAUCAUCCUCUGCCUCAGGUGAUUUCUUCUCCUGCCCUAUCGUUGUUUGUUCUUUAAUUCAAAGUUAUAAAAUAUUUCAAUCAAAUUUUAUGCCAGGAAUAUGCAAAAGUUUCUAAUAUUUUAUUUCCAUCUGUUUGCCUUGAUAACUUUGCGGCAUAUGUGCUAGUUAAAGAACAAAUCGAAACAGAGCUCAGUUAAAAGUUUCUUCUGCCGUCAUAUUUGAAAAAUGAAACCAUUUCCAAGAAGCAAUGGGUGUUAAGGAAGCUCACAUGAGCAGAGUAGUCAGUGGAGCAGAGGAUUGCAACACCUGCAGCUUGCUGUUACAGGUUGAUGACAUGGCUUGCCAGCUGGAGCCUGGUGGUUAUAUAGUCUCUUGCACACGUGAAGAUUAACAGAGUUUGUUAUAGUAUUUCUUGUGCUUGUAAUUCGGUUUUAAUUAGUUAUAACCAGCUGAUUAGCACUUGCAAUUAGUUGAGAAUUAGUUCUAAUUACUACUGAUGUAUAUAAACAGAAGUAUGUACAGAUUCAGUCAAUUAAUGACUUGAGAUAAUAAAAACGAAGAAAGAGUUUUAGAAUUCUCUUAUUUUCCUUUAAGUUUUCUCUGUUUCCAAACAUCAUUGAAUUGUUACUUGGUAUCAGAGCCAACCAAUAAUGGCGUCUGUUAAUCUUGCUUCUUCUUCCUCAAUUCCAACUCUUAAUCAUGCUACAAAUUCAACAACUGUUUCCUUUACCUUUAACACACCAGUCAAGCUUGAUUAGUCCAAUUGUCUCAUAUGGCGAUCUCAAGUCCUAGCCUCAAUUCGUGGAAACAGGCUCGAAAAGUUUAUUGAUGAUGCAGUCACUCCACCUCCAUCUCAUAUAGCUCAGAGAGUUGAUGAUGAACUCAGAUCUGUGGAGAAUCCAGAAUUCGCAACAUGGAGAUCUCAAGAUCAGGUGCUGCUUGGAUGGCUGCUCUCUUCGAUGAGUGAAGGAAUCAUCAGUCUAGUGUUUAACCUGGAAUCAUCACUUGAAGUGUGGAAAGCUAUUAAGGUACAAUUUGGCUCGCAAUCUAAAUCCAGACUUUUACAUCUGAGAUACAUGAUGAAUUCAACAAGGAAAGAUUAUAUGAAAAUCAUAGACUAUUUUAUUAAGAUGAAAAACAUAGCUGAUAAUAUGGCAGCAGCAGGAAGUGCUUUAAGUAGUGAUGAUAUGAUUUUACAUGUAUUAUCUGGCCUAGGACCAGAUUAUAAUUCAGUAGCUACUUACAUUACUGGUCAAGUAGGAGUUGGUAAAAUGAAUGUAAAUGAAGCCUAUGCUAUGCUGUUAACUCAAGAGGCUAGGAUUGAACAACAAUCACAAAUGCUUGCUGGUGUGGAUAUGAAAAACAAUUUUGAGGCAAAUUAUGCUCAAAACAGAGGAGUAAAGAAGGGAAACAUAUCAGGUGGAAGAGGUUUUGGUGGUUAUGGCUAUAACUCUGGGUUUGGAAAAGGUGGUUAUUACAAAGGAAACUUUGGCACUGAAUCUGCUGGUGGUGGUACUGGUUUUAAUAGUCAGUUCAAAGGUUAUCAAUCUGGUAAUCAAAGAGGAGGAGGAGGAGGAAACUGGAACAAUAACACUAGAAUUAACAAUUUUAACAAUGGGAAACCACCUAUGAACUCUAAACCUCAGUGGAAUACUUCUAAACCUACCUGCCAAAUCUUCCUCAAGCCUGGACAUACUGCAAACAUUUGUUGGAAGCUGGAAGAAUUCAUUGCUUCAGGCUCUUACAGAUCACCUCCAAAUAGAGGACCAAAGGCUGCCUAUUUAGCCAACAUGGAUGCUCCAGCUGAUACAAAUUGGUAUCUUGACAGUGGUGCUACACACCACCUCACUAAUGAUAUGAGCAAUAUGAAUAUGGCUGAACCUUUUACAGGUAUUUCUAAACUUGUCAUUGGUAAUGGUGUUGGUUUAUUCAUAACACAUACAGGUUCUGCUGUUUUGAGAAUGAAAAGCUCUAUAAAUCAUGUUGAUCUUAAGCUAAACAAUAUUCUUCUUGUGCCUAAAAUAACCAAAAACCUGAUAAGUAUAUCAAAACUAACCAGAGAUAGUGAUGUUGUGGUAGAAUUUACUAAUGAUUUCUGUUUUGUUAAGGACAAGGUGAGGAAUUUGAUCAUGCUGCAGGGCAAAGCUGAAAAAGGAUUAUACAGAUUGCUAUUAGUCUCCUCAAAUAAAACCUCUCCUUAUCUGUCAAACCAAGGUCUUUUUGCUCAUGUUCAGUCAGCUGUCUCAACUCAACCUAUUUCCAAGUUUUCUGUUGUUGAUUCUAAAUGUCAGAAUAAAAUUGCUUCUCAGUUACAAACUGAAGCACAAUGUAGUCAAAACUCAGAUUGUAUGUUGAGUACUAUGGUUUUACACCAAAGAUUAGGUCAUCCCAAUGCUAGAGUGUUAAAUCAUGUUAUCAAUUCUUGUCCAUCUUUUAAAACCAUCGAUGGUAAUAAAGGUUUUGAUUCUUGUGAUGCUUGUAAGUUGGGAAAAAUGCACAAACUUCAUUUUCCAGUAACUGAAACUAAAACCAAAAAUGCACUUGAAAUCUUACAUACAGAUCUAUGGGGGCCUGCUCCUACACUUUCUAUACAAGGAUAUAAAUAUUAUAUCAACUUUGUAGAUGAUUACACAAGAUUCACCUGGAAUUUUCCUUUAAAAACCAAAGCUGAAGCAUUUCCAGUGUUCAAAGUUUUCAAAGCUCAAGUAGAGAAACAAUUAGAUAAACCUAUCAAGUGUCUUCAAUCUGAUUGGGGUGGUGAGUAUAGAUCAUUUGUUCAUUUUCUUCAAACAGAGGGGAUUCAGUUUAGACACUCCUGUCCCUAUACCCACAAUCAAAAUGGACUUGUGGAAAGAAAACAUAGACACAUCACUGAGUUGGGUUUAACCUUGCUUGCACAAGCCAAGUUACCUAUAAAAUUUUGGUGGGAUUCUUUUCAUACAGCUACCCAUAUUAUAAACAAACUUCCAACUCCUGUUCUUUCCUUGAAAACCCCUUAUGAAUAUCUAUUCCAUCAAAAACCAGACUAUCCAUUUCUCAAAACUUUUGGUUGUGCUUGUUUUCCUUUCUUAAGAGAUUACAAUCAUCACAAGUUUCACUUCCAUACUUCUAAAUGUGUCUUCUUAGGAUACAUCCCUUUACACAAAGGCUACAAGUGUCUUCAUCCAUCAGGAAGAAUUUACAUAGCUAGUCAUGUUCUUUUUUAUGAAACUUCCUUUCCAUAUUCUACUGAUUCUACCUUCUUACAGUCUAUGCCAUCUAAAUCUUCUGACUUCUUUUAUAAUUCCUUACAAGUAUAUCACAUCUCAGUUCCUAAUAGCAAUCAGAAUCCUUUAGCAGCUGCUCCUGCAGAUACAGAUUCUCAUGCCUCCAGUUCUACUCACAACAUCAUCUCCCUUCCUAUUCCUACAUCACAAGUAAAUUCCACCUCACUGAUUUCACCAAAUAAUACUAUAUCUUCACCCAUUGUCCACACAACAUCACCAGCUGCUACCAUAAACACUAUACCAAACACUACAACUUUACCUGCAAUACUACAAAAUUCACCUUCCAGAUCACUUCCCUCAGCUGCAACCAUAAACACUCAUUUUAUGAUUACCAGAGCUAAAGCUGGCAUAUUCAAACCAAAGGCCUUCUUGACAGAUCAUAACAGCCUAGAACCUUCCAAUGCUGGAGAAGCCUUAUCUGAUACUAAGUGGAAGGCAGCAAUGCAAGAUGAAUAUAAUGCUCUCAUUAGAAACAAAACCUGGAGCUUAGUACCAAUGAAUCCAGAAUACAAGUUAGUAGGCUGCAAGUGGGUCUUUAGAACUAAAUACAAUACUGAUGGUUCAGUCUCUAAGUACAAAGCUCGCUUAGUUGCAAAAGGGUUUCACCAAACUGCUAGGAUAGAUUACUCAUAAACUUUUAGUCCUGUAGUGAAAUCUUCUACUGUCAGAGUUAUUCUUAGCUUGGCAGUCAUGCAAGGCUGGAAUGUUAGACAAAUUGAUGUCAAUAACGCAUUUCUUAAUGGGAAUCUCACUGAGGAUGUAUACAUGCAACAGCCAGAGGGUUUUGUUUCAGAGGGAGGAUACAUCUGUAAACUAAACAAAGCUCUUUAUGGCUUAAAACAAGCUCCAAGAGCCUGGUAUGAUAAGCUUAAGGGAUGUCUUACAAGCUGGAAAUUCACUAAUUCUAAGGCUGAUACUUCUCUGUUUAUCAGGCAUGAUGUCAAAGGCAUAAUUCUUGUCUUAAUAUAUGUGGAUGACAUUCUGAUCACUGGACCAGAUUCAGACUUGCUGGAAUCUUUUAUUGCUAAGCUCAGCAAAGUUUUUGCAUUAAAAGACUUGGGUCUAGUAACAUAUUUCCUUGGUGUAGAAGUCAGCUAUACAGAUCAUGGAAUGCAUCUCUCUCAGACUAAGUACAUCAAGGAUAUGCUGUCCAAAGCCUCAAUGCAAGACUGCAAAGGAACUGACACUCCUUUCAGCACAGGCUACAAGUUGGAAAGGUCAGCAAAAGGCCUAUUGGGUGCUGAAUUUGAGAAUCCAACCCUCUAUAGAAGCAUUGUUGGAGGUUUGCAAUACUUAAUCUUAACCAGACCAGACAUUGCAUAUUCAGUGCAUAAGCUUAGUCAGUACCUCAGUGCUCCUACACUUCAACACUAGUUAGCUUGUAAAAAAGUGCUCAGAUACCUUCAAGCUACUGUCACAUAUGGUCUCUAUAUUCAACAGGAGGGAACUCUGGAAACUAUAGGACUAACAGGAUAUUCAGAUACUGAUUAGGCAUGUGAUAUUGAUGACAGAAAAUCCAUUGGAGCAUAUUGCAUUUUCCUUGGUAAUAAUUUGGUUUCCUAGUCUUCAAAAAAGCAAGCCGUUGUAGCAAAAUCUAGUACUGAGAGUGAAUACAGAGCCUUGUCAGCAGCCAGCUCUAAACUUUCUUGGCUAUAAUCAUUAUUCUCUGAGCUCAACAUCACAAAAUUACCAACUUCUGUUCUAUGGUGUGAUAACCAGAGUGCUGGAGAUCUAGCUAGAAAUCCAGUUUUUCAUUCAAAAUCAAAACACAUAGAGCUAGACAUUCAUUAUAUUAGAGACAAGGUUCUUAACAAUGAAUUGGAAGUGAGGUACAUUCCCACUGAAGAGCAAGUUGCAGAUGUUCUUACUAAGCCCCUGUCAUUUCCUAAGUUUAGUUAUUUUCGUUCCAAACUCAAUGUGUUCAGUAGACCCUUGAGCUUGAGAGGGGAUGUUAAGGAAGCUCACAUGAGCAGAAUAGUCAGUGGAGCAGAGGAUUGCAACACCUGCAGCUUGCUGUUACAGGUUGAUGACAUGGCUUGCCAGCUGGAGCCUGGUGGUUAUAUAGUCUCUUGCGCCCGUGAAGAUUAGCAGAGUUUGUUAUAGUAUUUCUUGUGCUUGUAAUUCAGUUUUAAUUAGUUAUAACCAGCUGAUUAGCACUUGCAAUUAGUUGAGAAUUAGUUCUAAUUACUACUGAUGUAUAUAAACAGAAGUAUGUACAGAUUCAGUCAAUUAAUGACUUGAGAUAAUAAAACGAAGAAAGAGUUUUAGAAUUCUCUUAUUUUCCUUUAAGUUUUCUCUGUUUCCAAACAUCAUUGAAUUGUUACUAUGGGCAGCAAAUUCAUAUAAAGCGUAGACAAUGGUGAUCAAAAAGGUGAUUCACAAUUUCACUUUUUUUAAUGAAAUUAAUUGUUUGGUUGGAGCUGAUAUUGUUAGAAGGCCAUUGAGCUAACCUAUGUCACUACUUGCCUAGAUUACAGGGGGUCAAAACUCAAAAGAGGCAUUGAAUUUUAAAAGGCAUCCAAUAAUUCUUGUGGCCAUAUAUCAAUUCAUGUAAGUUUGAAUGUAAUUAUUGGUGAAGGGGUUUCACUUCCCGUCUCUAAAUAAAAAUACUGAUUCUUUAAGGUACAUGCCACUAGGGAUUGCGAGAUUAACGAGUCUUUGGACAUUGGAAGAGCUUCUUGUGAGUGGAGGAGGAGGUGUUCAUGUGUAGCAAAGCAUGUGGGCAGUGGGCUUGAAUCUCUUAAAAACUUGGAACUCCUCCAAGCGUAAGUAUACGUAUACUGGGAAAUGUGUUAGAUGUGGAUGAGGCUAAGAGAUUAGAGCUUGACAAAAUGAAAUACCUCUGUCAUUGAGACUUAAAUUUGAUGGGGAAGAAGAAAAAGAAUAGGGAAGGAGAAAGAAUGAGAAUAAUCAACUUGUUCUUGAAGCCUUGCAACCACCUCUGAAUUUGAAGGAAUUAGAGAUUUGGUCAUACAGAGGCAACAUUGUUUCCCCCCGGAUGAUGCAAAAGUUGAAGGAAUUUACCAAUCUAAGGAGUUUGACACUCUUUAAAACUGCAAAAAUUGAGAGCAGUUGCCUUCUUUGGGAAAAUUGUGAUCCUUUGAAAAUCUCAGCAUAUUGUACAUGGAGAGUGUGAAAACAGUGGGUAAUGAAUUUAUGGGAAUAGAAAGUGAUCUUCAUGACUCAUCUUCAUCUUCAUCAGUUAUUAUUGCCUUCCCCAAAUUGAAAUCACUUUCAGUUGAGGGAUUGAUGGAAUUGGAGGAGUGGGAUUAUGGGAUUAAAAGAACAGGAAACACCUUCACCAACAUUAUGCCACGUCUUUCUUCCUUGGAAAUUAGUGUGGGGUUAUGGGAUCGCACAACGACGUUGAAGGUAUUGCAGAUUGUGGCAUGUGGUACUCUAAGAAGACGUUACAGACAGGGGAGAGCAGAAGACUGGCCUAAAAUGCUAAUGUGGAGUACAAUCAUAAAAUGCUAAUGUGGCCACCCUGGUUCUUAAUUAAGGUUGUGCAUAUUAUUGUAAAAGAUGAUUAAUUCAAUUUGAGUCAUUCGUUUGCUUUGAUAAUGAUAGUAAUUUUAUAUUUUGACAAUUUGCAAGGUGAGAAUGGUGCUGAUUGGUGAUACAGGAUAUGGUUCAAACACCAUUGAAUAAAGCUACGGACAUGGUGGCUCAACUUAGCUAGAUUGCUGUCAAAAUUGGUAAGUUGGCUUGUCAAUGUAUUGAUGCUUUUGUUUUCUCUCAACCCUAAUUACCUUACCUUCAUUUAGUUUGGCUUUGGAGUUGAGUAAUAACUUUCAAGGUUCUCAAACAGAGCAGGACAACCGAAAAAAAAUAGCUUAAUUUGCUGCAGAUCACGUGUUACCAAUUAUUUAAGGUAAUUCUCGUUUACUUGCUUCUACACUAUAGAGUACGUGUUCUGGCUGGUUUAUGUAAUUCAUCAAAUGUUAUUUCCUUAUUGUUCCAUUGAUAUGUUUGUUAGAAAGUGAAACCAUUUCCAGGCAGCAGUUGGCAGUGAAUUCAUGCAAAUGUUGAUGCCAUUCAUAGAUAUUGAAGACAAUGAUGAGCCAAAGGUGAUAAAUCAUUAAUGCAUAGUUACCAAAACCUCCAUCCUUCUCUCAUUGUAAUUUGAUUUGAAAUGAAUAAUUGCUAGGUAAUUGAAGCCAAUAUUGUUAGAAACGGUGUUGAGCUACCCAAGCUAAGAAGUUAGCUGCCAAAAAAUGCAGGGGAUCAAAAGAAGCAUUGCAGUGCUACAAUGAAGCUACUGGGAAAUUUAAAUCCCAUAUUAGACUUUCCUCACAUCAGAAGCUGUGGAUCUUCGGACAUCAGGUUUUUUCACAGUUCUGAAACUCUCAGGAUUAAACUCUAUUAAAGUUGUUGUAGUUGUCUACGUUCUCAGGUCAAGGAUUCUAAGCUGCCUAUUAAGGCAAAAUGUCAGAAUUCCCCUAUUAUUUUUUUUUCAUGUAAAAUUAUGUUGUUGUCUUCGCCCAUGAAUCUUAGCUAAAUUCUGAACCAAUUGUUUGCUAUUAUAAAUUUCAUUGUUAAAUAUUAAUUGUGAUGUUGGUGUUGAGUUUCUUUUAAAGUCACAGAAGCCUGACGAUUGAGUUCCGUGAUUCUGAGAAGCAGUAAUAUUUUGAACAAGUGAAGGUUCUUCGUUUUUAAUUAUGUUCUGCACCUUUACAGUAUGAGUAAAUGUCUAAGAGGCGAGAUUUUAAUUUCUGUAAAUGCUAAAUUUCGCAAAACAAUAAAAAAAUAAAUGCAUGACAGUGACUUCAAGAAAUUAGAUUAUUGAAUUUGGCCAUUUUAAAAUUGAACCAGAGCUCAGAAAUGUAGAAUAUAAAUAUUGGAGAUUUGAACUUCAAUCAUUAGAUUUGAAGCUAAAGAGGUAAGCCAUUAAUUACAUCAAAUGAUUUGGAAAAUGGAGGAAUUGUAAAAAGGAAACUUUUUCUUUGUCCGAUUCAAGAGGAACAAGAGUAGCCUAAGAUAUUAAAGACAAUGUUGAGGCAAAGGAAACAUAAAUCCCAACCAUUGCAUGUGAACAUGAUCACAAUAAAUCCCAACCAUCCAAACCAUUUUUUUGAGAAUUUUCAAUUGAAAGUGAAACCUUUUGACAUUUACCUAAUAAAGUAAGUUAAACGAGAGAAAUAAAGGGGGGAAAAAAAAGUUGACUCAAGUCAAUACAGAAUUAUUAGUUCAACCUAGAGUAACUAAAACAGAGCCACUUGAGUUUCAAAAAUAUCUGCAUUCAUCACCUUCUCCAACAGCUUAUGAGCUACACACGAAUCAUUUCCUUUUAGCAUUUUUGCAGCAGCAAUUUCUCCCCUCGUUUGUCAUCAAUUUCUCCCUUCUCUUGGGGAAAAAAGGGCAGUUGUAAAUUACAUUAUUUGUAACUUUGGCGGACUCUUUAUAUAACACAAAUUCUAUCAUUUAAAGAAAUUAUAAUGAUGCAAUCGUUUCCCCUCUCUUGGAGCAGCUGAUUAUCUUUGCUGCUGAAGAGAUGAGACAACAGGGGAAGCUGGUGAGUGUUGGAUGAGCGGAUCACAGCAUGCGCCAAAUUGCAAAUUGAGAGCGGCAUUGAUGACAAUGCUCUUGGUGCUCCUUAUCUGAAGAAGAAGGUAUAUUCCUGCUUUCCUGCUUCUUGCUUUGGUUUCAAGCAAGUCUUUCACUGUCAUAACAUUUAUUGUAAUUUCAUUUGGAGAUAUGUAAUAUCUGUUGUACAGAUAUAUUUCAUACACCAGCUGUUAAUAAUUCUGCCUGCAGAGAACUUACAAAGGAGCUGUGUGAUGUAAUAGAAGACUAUGUAGUCUGGUCAAUUUUUUCAACCUUAGAUAUUAGGAAGUUAUGUAUUUCAUUAUCAGUUAUCAUUAUGAUUUUCAUCUUCAAAAAGAUAAAUGGAUGGCUUUGAAUGGCUUGUGUUUGAGGAUUUUAGUUUGACUUAUCUUGAUUGAAGUACUUUUUGACAAUAGAAUUCCUUCAUGAUUUAAACAUUCUUUUGAAAACCAAAUAAUAAAAAAAUAAAUAAACUAACAAAUAUUAUUUUAUUAGUGCUCUUUUCAUCAAAUAUACAUAAGAGUAUUGUAAUUUAUAGCAACUAAUUUUUCAUUAAAUACACCCAUAACAAACUAUUAAAAAUAAAGUGAUAGAAAAAUGCCUAAUUUUUCAUACUUUCUAAUUUCUUUUGGCCCUAAAAUAUGGGUAUUUAUGCCAUAAUAAGCCCAUGUAGAUCUCAAUGCCGAAAGUUCGAUAAAUGGCUUUCAAGGAUUGAUAAUUAUCUAUUAACAUUCUUAAUUAUAUUCAGUUAAAAUAUUAAUAUUAAAUACAUUCUUAAUAUUAAUAUUCUUGGAUGAAUUUCUUUGUGGAUUUAAGAAUAAAAUAUUAAAUAAUUUUAUUUUUCUUUUAUUCCGUAACUUAGACCAAAAAAGGAAAUGAGUUUCCCAAGGACUUCUCAUGUUUCCCAUCCUCCAUACUGUGCAGAGGAGUUUAGCACCCAUCAACUUUUAUUUUUUAAAACUCAUAAUGGCCAAUGAAUAAAGCUGUGGUGGCUGAACUUAGGUUGAUGUCAAAGAGGUAAUUGAAUUGGCCUGUUAAGAUGGAUGCUUUUUGUUGAUCAGGCGACAGAGCAGGACUAUGAAAAAGACAAGCUUAUUACCGGUAACUCAAGUUUACUUGCUUGUUAUAUAAUAUGCUUUUUGUCACCGAAUUUCAUUUCCAGUACGUCUCCAUCGGUAUCAAGAAGAAACAGAACUCAAAGAAAUAUUUUUUCAAUCUUCAUAUUUGUCUGAAUUCGUCCUUUCAUUAAGAAUAACCAUUUUCAGGCAGCAGUUGGCACUGAAUUCACGCAAAUCUUGAUGCCAUUCGUAGUCGCAGACAUUAAAGACAAUGAUGAGCCAAUGGUGAUUAAUCAUAAAUGCAUAAUUAACAAACUUCCGUCCUUCUCUCAUUGUAAUUUGAUUUGAAAUUAAUUAUUGCUAGGUAACAUUAAUUCCAACCAUUGCAAGAUUUUUCCCUUAACAUAAUUCGGUAACAUUUAAUUGCAUGUGAAAUUGAUCAUAAUACCGUGAAGGACCUACCAAAACUUUUUUUUGAGAAAUUUCGAUUGAAAGUGAAACCUUUUGACGUUUACCUAAUAAAUUUAGUAAAUCUGGAAAAAAAAAAAAGUUGACACAAGCCAAUGCAGAAUAAUUAAUUAAAUCUGGAGUGACCACAUUUUCAAAAAUAUCUGCAUUCAUCACCUUCUCCAACAGCUAGUCAGCCACACACUGUUGGGGAAAAAUUAGGUUUUUAAAUUUUAUAAAACCUUUUGAAGAUCGCUCUCAUAUAAUAUAUAAGAAUUUGUAUUCUAGAAAUCGUACCUUGAAAAUCCGAGUUGGCUUUUUCCGCUGAAGUGAUUUAGGCUCCUAGAUCACGAUCCGCCACCACCACUCCUGUUAGAUCACAAUCCGUCACCACCACGCUUGUUAGAUCACGAACUGUCUCCAAUGAUCUUCCAAGUUAUAACUCAGGUUCGAUCUACACUUGACGUGUGGGUGCCUUUAUCACUACCAAAGCAACUAGCACGAGAAAAUUUUUCUUCAAUAGAGAGAAAAAUCUUAUUCUCCGAUUUGUAUAAAGUGGCUUCUACCUUUUCUUUAGAGAAAAAUAAGCUUUUUAUAUCACCCUUUAGUGAAAACCCUAGGCUCCAAAUAAUGCCCAAAAUAAAACUCACGUUACUUUUCAUUUAAUAGGGGACCCACCAUGUAAAAUAACAUAAGGCCCUUUACACAUAAGCUAAUUAAAUGGAGCCUCUUACUAAAUGAUAUAUUUAGGCUUUUGACCCAAAUAACUAGUUAUCUUGCUUAUUAGUCCAGUAGUGGUGCAGUCAAUUAAAUGAGCUAACCCGGGGAUCAUUUGGGAACAUACAAUAAUGGCUACAAUAAUUAGGCCUGUAAUUAAACUAGCCCAAUUAUUUAAUUUCAAAUCUACUCCACUAAAAGAUUGGAACUGACUUCCAUAAUUGCAUGCUCGAAUAAUAAUUCGUCCCAAGCCACAUUGAUUUCUUUACUGCACAAUCCUUUGUACCACAUCGUUAAUUAAAUUGAUAUCUCAACUGUCCAAUCAAUUUAAUAACAUCUUAUUCCUUGAUCCUUACUGAUUUUUUCUAAUGAUCAUUUUCAACAUACUAAAUAUGUUGACACACUCUGGCCAGAGAAUUCUAUGAUCAAGUGCCGAAAAUCUAUCAAGAGAUGUGUUGUACAAAUUCUAUAUUGUCAAUCCAUAACUCCAAUACUCAUAAUUGCUCCCACCAAGAUACCGGGUAAUCUUGACCACAAGGAUGUGUCGUGCCCAUUGGUAACUCAAAUGGAAUAACAAUUACAAUCAUGAAAUCAUAAUUAACUCAAGAUUAAGAUUACAGUAAAAUCAACGCCUAUGAGAUUUAAUAAGUCUGACAGUUAUUACAAAGUUAAUUAAAUCUCAUAUGUGAUCCUGUUCAAUGUAGUCGUACUACAUCAAUAAAUUCAUACAUGAUUAAGACAAAUCAUUCAAUGAAUUUAUUACAGUCUAUACCUAAAUAAAGUGCCCAACUUUAUUUAUCAACUGCAAACAAAAUUUAUUUAAUCAUAAGAUAACUUGUAUUUAUGUCUUCUGUGAAUCCACAUGGUGAUCACAUAAAUACAUAUAAUAUGAUUAAAUGGACUUUAAUAAAAAUAUUAAUACAAUUAAGAUAUUUGAAUAAAAUACCUCAUUAAUUUUAUUAAUCAGAAAAAAUGUUUAUUACAAUUAAAUAAACACAUAUGCUUUUAAAGAGCAUAUUUUCCCAACAAUCUCCCACUAGCUCUCAAAGCAUAUCUGGCAUAUUGCACAUGCUUUCGGGCUCUAAGUGCAGGUUAUAAAGGUUUCCCACUAAUGGCCAUUGUAAUAAGAUCUGCCAUUUAGCAUCUAAUGCCAUUUAGGGUACUGUCAUAUAACCUUUCUACACUAUUCCCUUAUAAGAUGAUACUUCAUGUCAGUAUGUUUUGUUUCUUGUGGUUCCUUAGAUUGAGCUACUGCACCACCAUUAUCACAAAAUAGUUUAAGGGGUGUAGUUACAACAGGUACCACCUCAAGAUUUUGUAGGAACUUGCGGAGCCUAUAUAGCUUCUUUUGCAGCUUCAGAUGUAGCCACAUAUUCAGCUUCAGUUGUGGAGUCUGUGAUACAAGAUUGUUUCACACUCAUCCAACUAAUAGCUCCACUUCCUAAUGUAAACACAUAGCCGGAAGUUGAUUUUCUAAAAUCCUUAUCUGACAAAAAAUCAGAAUUAGUAUAACUCACUAGAAUAAGUUCAUCACCAGAAUACACAAGCAUAUAAUUUUUAGUUCUUUUCAGAUACUUUAUAAUAUGCUUGACUGCAGUCCAGUAUUGAGGUCCAUGAUUAAAUUGAUAUCUGCUAACCAUCCCUACCGAAAAACAGAUGUCUGGCCUAGUGCAAAGCAUGGCAUACAUGAGACUUCCCACAGCUUCUGCAUAGGGAACUCAUCUCAUUCUCUCUAUCUCUUCAGAUGUUUUAGGUGAUUGAUCCUUAGAGAAUGUAAUUCCAUGUCUGAAUGGUAAUAAACCAGUCUUGGAAUUUUCCAUGCUAAAUCUAGCCAAUAUCUUAUCGAUAUAGACCGCUUGAGACAAGGCUAAAGUUUUAUUCUUCCAGUCUCGUAGUAACUUGAUACCAAGAAUAUAACUUGCCUUUCCCAGGUCUUUCAUAUCAAAUUGUUUUGCUAACCAAAUCUUUAUUGUAGUCAAUACAUAUAAUAUGAUUAAAUGGACUUUAAUAAAAAUAUUAAUGCAAUUAAGAUAUUUGAAUAAAAUACCUCAUUAAUUUUAUUAAUCAGAAAAAAUAUUUAUUACAAUUAAAUAAACACAUAUGCUUUUAAAGAGCAUAUUUUCCCAACACACACGAAUCAUUUCCUUUUAGCAUUUUGCAGCAUCAAUUUCUCUCCUGUUAAUCUGGAGGAAUCCGUCAGACUUUGGCUGGAUCGGCUCAAGUACGCAUCCUACGACAUUGAAGAUGUGUUGGAUGAGUGGAUCACAACAAGAGCCAAAUUGUAAACAAGAGGUUGAUGACAAAUAUAUCUGUUGCUUCUCAUCUGAAGAAGAAUGUAUCUUCCUGCUUCCCUGCUUUUUGCUUUGGUAUCAAAUAAGUCUUUCUCCGUCAUAACAUUUAUUGUAAUUUCAUAUGAGAUAUUACAUAAUAUAUCUGUUGUUCAAAUAUAUUUUAUAUACAAGCUGUUAAUACUUAUGCUUGCAGAAAGCUUACAAAGGAGUUGUGUGAUGUAAUAGAAGACUACAGUCUGGUCAAUUUUCAACUUUAGAUAUUCAGGUCAUCAGUUUCUCUUGAAUUCUUUCUUGAGUUUCUUUGAAUUAUUUGUGAAUAAGAUCUUAGUUGGCUGCUCCUCUUCAGGAUAAGGAAAGUGUGGCAAAACUCGUGAAGCUGAUAGAUAAAAGCAAUGGGUAUAUCUUUGCUGGCAUGGAUGCCAGCGCAGUUGAAUUCAGCAAGGUUGCCAUUCGCGAUGUUGAUUGGGAUUACUUCAGAUAUCCCUCUUUUCACCUAUUUUCAAUCUUGUGAUUCUCAUUUUCAUAAAACAUUUUGGUUAUUUAAUUAUGGCUCAUUGUAUGCAUCUGCAUCCUCUAACUUGUUCGUUUGAGAAACAAAUUUUGCUGUUAGGUAGGCUUCAAGCUUGAUUCAUGCUUUUUCCAUAAAUGUACCAAAAUCAUGGAAACAUCUUUUUCCCAGAUAUUGUAUCCACACUUUUCCCAUCUAAAAGACAAGUUUUGCUUAACAAAGAAAUCUACAGUAGCUGAAGUGCAGGAGAAGUACAUUAAGGAUGAUGACGAUGUUAACUAAAAGGGAACGCGAAGAUAUGUGGUGUGCAAAUCGUAAGCAAGCUGUGAGUUGAAUGAAUAAAGUUUGGUUUCCAGAAACGACCACGUUUUGGAGCUGUAAAACCUUCAUUAGUCACGUGCUGCUGUUCUUAACUGAAAACGAUUUAGUCGAAACGACAUGGGUGGAGCGCGUUUUACAUAUCAGUUUAAGUUAACCACAUGAGGAAGCAUGUGAUGAAGGUUAUUCUGAGUUUGUUAAAGGUUGUUAACCACGUGUCAACGAGCUGUACAAUCUAGAAAUCAAGUUGGCUGCCUAAACAGAGUAUAAAGGCUAGGUUUUGGGGAAAUUCAGGAACGAAUUUCAUGAGUCUUGCUGUGAGGGUUUUGUGAGAGAGAAAGUAUUAACUUGUUCUUUGUAAAGUCUGGUGGAAGGCUCUGUAACAAUCUCCAUUGUUGAUUCAAUAAAGCUCAUCUUGAGGCUUCUCCAAUGGAUGUAAGCUGAGCAUUCCAUGCUCAACUGAACCACGUUAAAUCUUGGUUUCUGUGGGUUUCUUGUUUCUAGUUCUUGUUCUUUUUGUUAUUGAGUGAGUUUGUCUAAUUAGAUCUUGGGGUUGUGCAACUUGCAUUGACUAGAUCACUAGCAUCCUGGGCAGUGAUCAAUUUAGCUUGGUUUAAAGGCUUGCUGUUCACUACAAUUGGUACUAGAGCUUGGUGUUCUGUGAUCAAGUCCAAGUAUGGUGUCUUCUAAGGUCGAUGUAGAAAAAUUUACAGGCAAGAAUGACUUCAAUAUGUGGAAGAUGAAAAUGGAAGCCUUGCUGAUCAUUUAGGGUUUGGGAGAUGCAAUUGAGCCUGAAAUGAAGGAAGGUAAAGGGGUUUCUUCAUCAAAGACUCCAGAGGAAGUUGUUGAAAUCCACAAAAAGGUCAGAAGUACAAUAAUCCUGAGUCUUGGUGAUUCAGUCAUUAAAGAAGUGGCCAAAGAUAAGACAGUUGCUGGAUUAUAGAGCAAACUGGAAAGUCUUUAUAUGACCAAGUCACUUGCAAACAGACUCUACAUCAAGAAAAGGAUGUUUACACUAAAAAUGGUGGAAGGAGCUUCACUGGAAGAACACAUCGAUGAGUUUAACAAGGUAUGUGAUACCCUGGAAACCAUUUAUGCUACUCUGGAUGAUGAGGGGAAGACUCUCUUGCUAAUCAAUUCAUUACCAAAAUCCUAUGAAAAUUUGGUUGAUGCCCUGAUGUAAGGAAGACAAACCCUAACACUUGAUGAAGUUAAAUCUACCCUAAAUACAAGGGAACUUCAAACUAAACAAGGGCAUUUGGAGAAUAAUAGAAGUGAAUGACUGAUAAUAAAGGUGAAAACUGACAAGAAGAAGAAGAAAGGCAAAUCCAAGAACAAAGAAAGAGACCUAAAAUGCUUUCAGUCUCACAAAGAAGGCCAUUUUAAGAGGGAUUGCCUUGAAAAGAGAUUCAAGCCCAAAGAUUCAAGAAACCAAAGUGGAGAUGCAGCUGUAGUGGAAGAGGAAGGAUAUGAGUCUGCUGGUGUAUGUGUGGCAAUAGAAAACAGCCAAAAAGGUAAAUGGGUUCUGGACUCUGGAUGCACUUUUCACAUGUGCCCUUUUAGAAAUUACUUUAAUAAAUAUCAAGAUUUUGAUGGAGGUAGAGUAAUUAUGGGAAAUAACUCUAUUUGUAAAAUCAUUGGAAUUGGGGAUGUAAGCCUUAAGCUACAUGAUGGUUCAAUAAGAGUGCUUAGGCAAGUCAGGCAUGUGCCAGACUUGAAAAGAAAUCUAAUUUCUCUUGAGGUGUUGGACCAAAUAAGGUGUAGAAUUAAGCUUGAAUCUGGAGAAUUGAGUGUUUUGAAUGGUUCAAAUCUAGUCAUGAAAGGGACGAGGAAGAAUGGAGUUUACAUCUUAGAUGGUGAGGUGAUAUCUGGAGUAGCUGAUGUAUCCAUUAAGCAUGCUAAAGAUAAAACCAGGUUAUGGCAUCCAAGGUUAGGGCACAUGAGUGAGAGAGGAUUAAAAGAGUUAGAAAAACAAAGGUUGUUUGGUUCUGACAAGAUUGGUAAUCUAGAGUUUUGUGAAGAUUGUGUUCUAGGGAAGUCUUCAAGAGGCAGCUUCAAUAGAUCUAGUCAAAAAUCAAAUGAGAGGUUGGAUUAUGCACACUCAGACUUGUGGGGGCCUGCACAGUGUGUAUCUCUGCGAGGGAAUAAGUAUUUUUUAUCUAUCAUAGAUGACUUCUCUAGGAAAGUUUGGGUGUAUGUGUUAAAGAACAAGGAUCAGACUUUUGAGAGGUUUAAAGAGUGGAAACAGAUGGUAGAAAACCAAACUGGUAAGAGAUUAAAGAAGCUGAAAACUGAUAAUGGUCUUGAAUUUUGCAACCAGCCAUUUGACAACUUUUGUGCAAAUAAAGGUAUUGGUAGACAUAAGACAGUAAGGAUGACCCCAUAACAAAAUGGGUUAGCUGAGAGGAUGAAUAGGACUCUAUUGGAGAAAGUAAGAUGUAUGCUGAUUUAGUCCAAGCUCCUAAAAACAUUGUGGGCAAAAAUCUUACUCACAGCAUGCUACCUUGUCAACCUAAGCCCUUCUAUUGGAAUUAAUUUCAAAACACCUUUUGAAUGUGGUCACGGAAACCUGCUGACUAUGGAAUCCUUAAAGCCUUUGGCUGCCCAACCUAUGUUCAUGUCAGUCAAGGUAAGCUAGCAGCUAAAGCCUUGAAAAGUGUUUUCAUAGGCUAUCCAGAAGGAGUCAAAUGGUUUAAAGUUUUGUGCACUGAGCUUAAUCCACCAAAAUGUAUAGUGAGUAGGGAUGUGGUGUUUAAUGUGGGGAGUUUGAUGAAGGUGAAUCAUGAACCUGAUCUGGAAACUGAAAAUUCAAGACUAAUAGAGAAACUAGAGUUUGAGGUGGAGCCAUCUACUUCCAGAAACACAACUGAAGCUGCAGAUUCAGGUGGUGUUCCUGAAAACACUGAUGACACACAGGCACCUCAAGAUCAAUCAAGUUCUCAGGAGCAAAUCAGAGAAUACCAGCUCACCAGAGAUAGACAAAAAAGGCAGAUCAAACCAACAAGGAGAUAUGGCUAUGCAGAUUUAAUAGGUUUUGCUCUAACAGUUGCAAAAGAUAUAGAUGGUGAGGAACCAAAGAAUUUUAAGGAAGCAACCCAGAGCCUGUUCAAAGAAGAAUGGCAAAGAGCUAUAGAUGAUGAAAUGGCCUCCCUCUAUAAAAACAACACAUGGGAGCUGGUCAAGAAGCCUAGAAAUAGAAGAGUGGUUGGCUGCAAAUGGAUUUUCAAAAUUAAGGAGGGCAUAAAUGGAUCUGAACCAAGGAGAUUCAAGGCUAGACUUGUGGCCAAGGGUUAUAAACAAAAGGAAGGGAUAGAUUUUAAAGAAGUAUUUUCUCUAGUGGUUAGACAUGCCUCAAUUAGAGUUAUGUUAGCCAUAACAGCUGUGCAAGACAUGGAGCUUGAUCAACUCAAUGUCAAGACAACAUUUCUGCAUGGAAGACUUGAGGAAGAAAUACCGAUGUCCCAACCUGAAGGGUAUGAGUUCCCAGGUAAAGAAGACCAUGUGUGUCAACUAAAGAAGUCACUCUAUGGGCUUAAACAGUCUCCCAGACAGUGGUACCUAAGAUUUGAUAAAUUCAUGCAACUGCAUGAGUUCAUCAAAUGUAGCUAUGACUGCUGUGUUUACUACAAGACAAUCAAGGAUGGUCUGUACAUAUACCUCCUUCUAUAUGUAGAUGACAUGUUGGUUGCUUGCAAAGAUAAAGAGGAAAUUGAUAAGCUCAAGGUGCUGCUGAAUUCAGAAUUUGAAAUGAAGGACCUGGGGUAUGCAAUGAAGAUUCUAGGAAUGGAGAUCAGAAGGAAUAUAAGUAAAGGGAUCAUGUUUCUGUCACAAGAAAAAUACUUGAAAAAAGUGUUAGAAACAUUUGACAUGAGUAAGUCUAAACCUGUGCAACUACCAUUAGCUUCACAUUUCAGGUUAAGCAAUUUGCAGUAUCCUUAAACAGAAGCUCAAAAGCAAGAUAUGGCAAAUGUGCCCUAUGCAAAUGCAGUAGGCAGCCUUAUGUAUGCAAUGGUAUUGACCAGGCCAGACAUAACUCAUGAUGUCAGUGUAGUUAGUAGAUAUAUGGCACAACUUGGGGAAGACCAUUAGAAGGCUAUAAAAUAGAUACUCAUGCAUCUCAAAGGCACUGUAAAUUGUGGUCUGAUGUAUGGCAAGACAAAAGCAAAUGAUGAGGUUUUGGAAGGGUAUGUUGACUCAGAUUAUGCAGGGGAUUUGGAUAAAAGAACGUCUCUUACAGGUUACAUAUUGAUGUUAAAUGGUUGUACUGUAAAUUGGAAGGCAACUCUACAAAGUGUAGUGGCUCUUUCAACAACUGAAGCAGAGUAUACAGCUGCUACAGAAGUUGUAAAGGAAACACUUUGGCUCAAGGGGUUGGUGACAGAGUUGGGAUUAAAUAAGAAGUCAGUAUCAAUCUGCUGUGAAAAUGGUGAAGAUUCAUACUGAUGAGAAUUCUGCAGAUGCUGUUACUAAGGUGAUUCCUGUGGAUAAGUUCAGAGCUUGCCUGGACCUAGCUGGCUUGUGCAGUCAGUGAUAUGCAUAAGGUUUGGAGAAGGAUUUAGAGUGAGGGUAAACUUUGAUUCAAGUUGGAGAAUUGUGAGUUGAAUGAAUCAAGUUGGUUUGCAUAAACGAUCGCGUUUUGGAGCUGUAAAACCUUCAUUAGCUCACAUGCUGCUCAGCUGGUUCUUAACUAAAAACGAUUUAGUUGAAAUGACAUUGGUGGAGUGCGUUUUACAUAUCAGUUUAAGUAACCACGUGAGGAAGCAUGUGAUGAAGGUUAUUCUGAGUUCAUUAAAGGUUGUUAACCACGUGUCAACGAGCUGAACAAUCUGGAAAUCAAGCUAGUUGCCCAAACAGAGUAUAAAGGUUGGGUUUUGGGGAAAUUCAGGAACGAAUUUCAUGAGUCUUGCUGUGAGGGUUUUGUGAGACAGAAAGUAUUAACUUGUUCUCUGUAAAGUCUGGUGUAAGGCUCUAUAACAAUCUCCAUUGUUGAUUCAAUAAAGCUCAUCUUGAGGCUUCUCCCGUGGAAUGCUCAGCUGAACCACGUUAAAUCUUGGUUUCUGUGGGUUUCUUGUUUCUAGUUCUUGUUCUUUUUGUUAUUGAGUGAGUUUGUCUAAUUAGAUUUUGCGGUUGUGCAACUUGCAUUGACUAGAUCACUAGCAUCCUGGGCAGUGAUCAGUUUAGCUUGAUUUAGAGGCUUGCUGUUCACUGCACAUGCCUUUUGCCUUUGUGGAUGUUCAAGCUUGUGAUUCAUGUUUGUUAAUCUAUUAUGCUCUCUUGCAGGAUUUAUAAAGUUUUCGAUCAAUCAAGCAUUUGACUCAAGUUCUUAGCUCUUCACUGCUUGAAUGGGUCAGAUAGGACAAGCGCCGAUGAGGUGGUUUUAAUCAGACCCCUCCUAAUUAUGAUGUAUGGUCCGAAUCUUGGACUUUUUGUACAAAUGUAGCUAUUGAGGACAAUGAUGAGACAAAGGUGAUCAUUCAUUAAUGCGUAAUUACCGAAACCUCCAUCCUUCUCUCAUUGUAAUUUGAUUUGAAAUGAAUAAUUGCUAGGUAAUUGAAGUCAAUAUUGUUAAAAACCGUGUUGAGCUACCCAAGCAAAGAAGUUAGUCGCCAAAAAAUGCAGGGGAUCAAAAGAAGCAUUUCAUUUGAAAAGGCAUGAGAUUCUGUUUAAAUUUGUGCUACUACGGUGCGGUAAUGCUGCUACUGGGAAAUUUGAAAAGGCAUCAGAAGCUGUGGAUCUUGGGACAUCAGGAUUUUUCACAGUUCUCAAACUCUCAGGAUUAAACUCUAUUAAAGUUGUAGUUAUCUUGUUGUCAGAAUUCCCAUAUUAUUAUCUUUUUCAUGUAAAAUUAUCUUGUUGUCUUCACCCAUGAAUCUAAGCUAAAAUUUGAACCAAUUGUUUGCUAUUAUAAAUUUCAUUGUUAAAUGUUAAUUGUGAUGUUGGCGUUGAGUUUCUUUUAAAGUCAUAGAAGCCUGACGAUUGAGUUCCAUGGGAUUCUGAGAAGCAGUAAUAUUUUGAACAAGUGAAGGUUCUUCGUUUUUAAUUAUGUUCUGCACUUUUACAGUAUGUGCAGAUGUCUAAGAGGCAGGAUUUUAAUUUCUGUAAUGCUAAAUUUCGCAAAACAAUAAAAAAAUAAAUGCAUGACAGUGACUUCAAGAAUUUAGAUUAUUGAAUUUGGUCAUUUUAAAAUUGUUGGAAUGUUGAACUUACGUAAUUUUGAUAAACCAGAGCUCAGAAAUGUAGAAUAUAAAUAUUGGAUAUUUGGACUUCAAUCAUUAGAUUUGAAGCUAAAGAGGUAAGCCAUUAAUUACAUCCAAGGAUUUGGAAAAUGGAGGGAUUGGAAAAAGGAAACUUUUUCAUAAACUUCAAGCAUUGGGCAUUUUCAUUUGUCCGAUUCAAGAGGAACGUCAUAGAAAGGGGUAAAGAAAAGAGUAGCCUAAGAUAUUAAAGACAAUGUUGAGCCAAAGGAAACAUAAAUCCCAACCAUUGCAUGUGAACAUGAUCACAAUAAAUCCCAACCAUCCAAACCAUUUUUUUGAGAAUUUUCAAUUGAAAGUGAAACCUUUUGACAUUUACCUAAUAAAGUAAGUUAAACGAGAGAAAUAAAGGGGAAAAGAAAAGUUGACUCAAGUCAAUACAGAAUAAUUAGUUCAAUCUGGAGUAACUAAAACAGAGCCACUAUAUUUUCAACAGCUAAUGAGCUACACACGAAUCAUUUCCUUUUAGCAUUUUUGCAGCAUCAAUUUCUCUCCUCGUUUGUCAUCCAAAAUUAUUCACCAAUACCAUGGCUGAUGCAAUCGUUUCCCUGGUCUUGGAGCAGCUGAUUAUCUUUGCUGCUGAAGAGUUGAAACAACAGGGGAAGCUGGUGAGUGUUGGAUGAGUGGAUAACAGCAUGCGUCAAAUCGCAAAUUGAUCAAUGCUCUUGGUGCUCCUUAUCUGAAGAAGAAGGUGCAAAUUGAGAGCUGAAUUGCACUGUCAUAACAUUUAUUGUAAUUUCAUUUGGAGAUAUGUAAUAUCUGUUGUCCAGAUAUAUUUCAUACACCAGCUGCUAAUAAUUCUGCUUGCAGAGAACUUGCAAAGUGAUUCUGGGAUAUGUAAUAUCUGUUGUAAUAUCUGGAGAUAUGUAAUAUCUGUUGUCCUAGAAAUAUAGAUGUGUGGUUCGCAAAAUUUUCUUGAUCUUAAGAAAGAGUUAUCUUGAAUAGAAGAUAACAUGGAGAAUUCAGCAACUAUACAGUCAUAUUGAUGUCUGUCAACUUGGGUCAGAUGGUGUCGUUUGGAUGGAGAUGUUAGGUCCCAGAUGGUAUGCUUGUUAUCAAUUCCAGUCUAAUUCAUUCAUGCUUUGAUGACAUAUGCGGUGCAGCUUCUUAUCUAAGACCUGUAUAUGUUCAGUCAUCAUUCAGUUCUGUAUUUGGCUGCCAUUCUUUCAAUGAAUUCAAACCACUUUCUGAAUACUUGCAAAUUCAUCCAGUGUUGUCAUUGAGAUGCCAAUAUGUAAAGGAGCAAUAGUUGCCCUUGAUAGUAUGCUUAUUGAUUGCCUCUUGCCUCACUCAGCCUAAGGAAUCUGGUUGUAUGGUGUUCUUGUAAUUUCAUUUGGAGAUAAGUAAUAUCUGUUGUUCAAAUGUAUUUUAUAUACAAGCAGUUAAUAAUUCUGCUUGCAGAAAGCUUACAAAGGAGCUGUGUGAUGUAAUAGAAGACUACAGUCUGGUCAAUUUUUCAACCUUAGAUAUUCAGGUCAUCGGUUUCUCUUGAAUUCUUUCUUGAGUUUCUUUGAAUUAUUUGUGAAUAAGAUCUUAGUUGGCUGCUCCUCUUCAGGAUAAGGAAAGUGUGGCAAAACUCGUGAAGCUGAUAGAUAAAAGCAAUGGGUACAUCUUUGCUGGCAUGGAUGCCAGUGCAGUUGAAUUCAGCAAGAUUGCCGUUCGCGAUGUGGAUUGGGAUUAUUACAGAUAUCCUUCUUUUCACCUACUUUCAAUCUUGUGAUUCUCAUAUUCAUAAAACUUUUAUGGUUCAUUGUAUGCAUCUGCAUCUUCUAAUUUGUACGUUUGAGAAACUAAUUUUGCUGUUAGGUAGGUGUCAAAUUUGAUUCAUGCGUUUUUUAUAAAUUUACCAAAAUCAUGGAAACUUCUUCUUCCCAGAUAUUGUAUCCACACUUUUCCCAUGUAAUUCAGUCAGACAAGUUUUGCUUAACAAAGAUAUCUACAGUAGCUGAAGUGCAGGAAAAGUACAUUGAGGAUGAUGACGAUGUUAACUAAAAUGGGACACGAAGAUAUAUGGUGCGCAAACCGUAAGCAUGCCUCUUACUUUUGUGCAUGUUUACUUGCUUGUGAUUCAUGUUUGUUAAUCUAUUAUGCUCUUUUGUUGGAUUUAUAAAGUUUUCAAUCAAUCAAACAUUUGACUGGUUCAGACAGGACAAGCGCGGAAGAGGUGGUUUUAAUCAAACCACUACUAAUUAUGAUGUAUCUCGGACCUUUGUACAAUAUCAAGCGAUUUUUUUAGUUGAAUCAGCUAGUGUACACAAAUGUCGUUUAUUGAUUUUUCUCUAGUAUAGUUCGUAAUUUUGGUAACACAUCUACUCUAGUAUCGAUUGUAAUUACAAGAAACAAAGUAAUGAAAUUUAUCACUGCAUUCAUAGUUAUGCUUAAGCUCAAAGACCACUGUCAAGAUCAUUUUGGGGCCUCUAUUUGUUCUAUAACAUGAUGUUGACACAUGUCAAAUUAUGAAGCUUGUGAUUAAAAUACUUUUCACAUAUAUAUUUUAAGUACCACUAAUAAUUAAAUAUAUGAAUAAAUAUGGUCAAUGAGGAGGGGAUAAAAUAAAAUGGUUUUAUUUUUUGAAUUACUCAACUGCUUCAAACUUCUAAGAAGUAGAUUUACGAUGAGCGGAAUCUUAAAUUGAGUACGAGCUAGGGAUAACUUAUAAAAUUGGGAUACAAGCUUCAAAGAAAGUGUAUUACUAUUCAUAUGUAGAUUUCGAAUUAAGAAGAUAUGCCAACUAAUUGUAUAAAAAUGUAAAAAUUGAUCACUGACAUAAUCCCAAAUGAUAAAAUGAGCUACCUCGAUCAAAAGGUCAAGAACCUACCUUCUCUUAGGGAUAAGUGAAAGCUUCCCAAUUGAAGGAAAGUGAAGAGAAGAUUCUAUGCUCUCAUUAUUAUUAUUAUUUGUUAGAAUGAAGUGCGAAGUGAGCACAUCAUGCAAGCUCAGCAGAAGUGAUAAGGUGACUUGUAACUCAGCUGGCACUCAAGAGACAAAGUGUAGUGGAGAAAAGUUUCCCAAUUGAAGGAAAGUGAAGGGAAGAUUCUAUGCUCUAAUAAUUAUUAGUUGACAAUGAAUUGGCAAAUAAAAACAAAAUAGCAAGCCUGUAAAGUAAUGAAGUGGAGACAAUGACCAUGUGAUUGAUUGGUAAAUAAAAACAAAAGAGCAAGCCUGUAAAGUAAUGUAAACUAUAGUGUAUAUUCAAGUUAAAGUAAUGGAAACAGUGUAUAUUCACAAAAAAUUCUUUUAUCUCUCAUUGUCUUGUUCUUUUCUUUAUUUACGUUGUCCAGAAGUAAAGCCAUACAUGUGAUGAAGCAUAAAUAAGAAAGCUAUCGCCCGAAAUUCAUUUUCACAAACACUUCAAUAUCCUUUUGAUCACUUUUGCAAACAUCAAUUUGUCUCCUCUUGUAUUCACCAUGGUUGAUGCCAUCGUUUCCCCUCUCGUGGAGCAGCUGAUUUCCUUCGCUGCUGAAGAGAUAAAACAACAGGUGAUCGAAGUUACACCCCUCAUAUUACAAAUACUUACAAUGAUUUUAUUUGGUUUUGCUUUUAUCAAAAACAUUAUAAUUAUAAUUUUUGAAAUUUGAAUUGAAUUUAAUUAAAAGGUGAUAUAGUAACCACUCAUUUUUAUUUUAUUUCAUUUAUAUUCUCGAUAACUACCCAUAUUGUGGUAACUUGCUAUAACUCUCGUAUAUAAGAAAUGAUCAAAACCCAUAAUUUUAACUCUGUAUAAAUAUUCAAUGUUGAGCUAAGGUUUUGUAGAACAUUCAAGUUUAUCAAACAGUCAUUAAUUUAAUGCUUAGUAAAAUCUCAACUCUGCACUGAAUCCCAUAACUAUUACUUAGACUCUAUGAAAAAUUUCAUAGUUUUCUUACAUUCUUUGAGUUUGGUAAGUGAUUUCAUAUAAUUUAUUUUCAAGUUAAAUUUUAAUUUGGUUUCUGAUAUAGUCUCUUUGCCGAAUUGUCUCUUUUAUGAUUCUUGGAUUUUGGGCUUCAACUUUUUAGGAUUUGAUAGUCACAUUUUAUGCCGUGCUCAGAUUGAUUUUCAUGAUUAUUAGUAGCCGUUAAGUGACUUACAAUUUGACGAAAGUUUGAAAGGAAAAAUGUUUCAGGAUUAUGUUUUAAUUGACCUUUUAGUGGAAAUAGGAUGCUUAUAACUUAAUGUGGAUGGUUCGUAAAAUCAUGAAAUUUGGAUAGGAUUCACUAGAAAUAUGUUCAAGACUCUCCAUAAAGUUUCAUAAUUUUUCAUUGGGUCUGGGCUGUUACAGGUGAUGCUUGUGACUGGUGUCGAGAAGGAAGUGAAAAGCCUUACGAACCACCUUCAUGCCAUUCAAGCUGUGCUCGAUGAUGCAGAGGAAAAGAAAGUGAAGAACAAAGCUGUUAGUCUUUGGCUGGGUAGGCUCAAGUAUGCAUCCUACGACAUUGAAGAUGUGUUGGAUGCGUGGAUCACAACAAGACGUAAAUUGCAAAUUGAGGGUGGCGUUGAUGACAAUGCUCUUGCUGCUCCUCAAAAGAAAAAGAAGGUGUGUUUCUGCUUUCCUGCCUCUUGUUUUGGAUUCAAACAAGAAGAAUUUGGUUUCAAACAAGUCUUUCUACGUUAUGACAUUGCCAACAAGAUCAAAGAAAUGAAUGAAGAGCUACAUGAUAUUGCCACUCAAAAAGACAUGUUUAAUCUUAAAAGUGGUGAAAGACCAAGGCGUGUACAGAGUACCUCCUUGAUUGAUGAGGAAGAGAUUUGUGGUAGAGUUGGUGAGAAGAAUGAACUCAUAAGCAAGCUGUUGCGUGAGAGUAGCGAGCAACAAAAAGGCCUCCAUAUCAUCUCAAUUGUUGGUAUGGGAGGCAUAGGGAAAACUACUCUUGCACAACUAGCUUGUAAUCAUGACGAGGUGAAGAGAAAGUUUGACAAAAUUCUGUGGGUGUGUGUAUCAGAAACUUUUGAGGAGUUUAGGGUAGCCAAAGCGAUCGUUGAAGCUUUGGAUAGUCGUGAAUCUCAUUUAGGUGAAUUUCAAUCUCUUCUUAAAUAUAUUUAUGAAUCAAUUGCAGGGAAGAGCUUUCUUCUUGUCUUAGAUGACGUGUGGGAUGGAAAUUACUUGAAAUGGGAACCAUUCUACCGUUGUCUAAAGAAUGGUCUCCAUGGAAGUAAAAUUUUAGUUACCACACGUAAAGGGUCAGUCGCAUCCAUGAUGGGAUCCAUAACUAUUAUCUCCGUUAAGGAGUUAGCUGAAGAGGAAUGUUGGUUGUUGUUUAAAAAGAUAGCAUUUUUUGAUCGGUCCAUCGAGGAACGUGAAAAAUUAGAACAAAUUGGGCAAAGAAUUGCAGGCAAGUGCAAAGGUUUACCUCUUGCAGCAAAGACAAUAGGGCAUCUCAUGCGUUCUAAACAAACUGAAGAAGAGUGGAAAAGAAUUUUAAAUAGUGAUUUAUGGAAAGUAGAAAAGAUUGAGAAAGAUGUUUUGUCCUCUUUAUUGUUGAGUUAUAAUGAUUUGCCAUCUAGAGUAAAAAGAUGUUUUUCAUAUUGUGCUGUCUUUCCAAAAGAUUAUAAUAUAAGAAAAGACAAACUAAUCUCAGUAUGGGUGGCUCAAGGUUAUCUUAGUGCAGAAGCAGCAGAACAAAAUGAGGAGUUGGAGACUAUAGGUGAAGAGUAUUUUAGCAUCUUAGCUUCUCGCUCUUUCUUUCAAGAGUUUAAGAAAAGUUAUGAUAAUUGGAUUAUAGAGUGUAAGAUGCAUGAUAUGGUACAUGAUUUUGCCCGAUUUGUAAGUCAAAAUGAAUGUUUUUCCAUGGCAAUUAAUGGUAGUGAAGAAUCAAACGCCACAAACUCUCUUGAUGAGAAGGUCCGUCAUUUAAUGUUAAUCUUUAGUAAAGGGGCUUCAUUACCUGUUUCCACUCUUAGAGUUAAAAGAAUGCGUAGCCUCUUUAUUAACGAUAGUGAAUCUGAUCAUUCAUCAUUAAAUGGUGAGAUCCUAGAAGAAUUAUUUAGGGAAUUGACAAGUUUAAGGGCAUUAGAUUUUGGCAAAUCGUGUAACUCAAGUUGGUCUUCGACUCUGGAGUAGGGAUGGCAAAAAUCCCCACGGGGACGGGUACCCUCGGGGAUUUUCCCCAUUCGGGGAGGGUAUGGGGAUAAUUUCAUACCCAAUUUCUUAUUCGGGGAGGGGACGGGGAAAUUUUUUUACCCAAUUUCUUAUUCGGGGAGGGGACGGGGAUGAGGUGGAAUCCCCAUCCCCUACCCAUUUCCCCAUUUUAAUUUUUAAUUUAAUUUUAAUUUUUUAAAAUUACUAGUAAAUAAAUUAUAAAAUUUAAAUUAUAAAAUUAUAAAUAUUGGUAAAAAUAAAAAAUAUCAAAAUAUUUAUAUUAUUAAACUUUUAGGCCUAAUUAGCUAAUUAAAGUUCUAAAUUUUUAUUUAGGACAUUAAAAAGACUGAGUAGAUUCUAUUAGCCAAAUUUUUUUUUAAUUUUGAUAUUCUUUAAAUAUUUUAAACUUAAAUCUAUUUUUUAUUUAAUUUUAGAUGUUAUAAUUGCCCACAGCGAAUCACAAUUUUAAUAUCUAAUCUAAUCUAAUCUAAUAUUUACUUUUGAUUUGCUCCGAUUUAACUAUUGUGUUGUAAAGGGAAUAGUCCACAUUUAUAAAGUGCCCACGCCACCAUUGAAAAAGUUAAUUUUGAAUCUAAAUUUGAUUUUAUUUGUAACAAUUUUGUAUUAGACUAUUAAUUUGUUCAUGAUAGUUUGUAAAAUAAGUUUGUAUCUCUUGUAUGUUGCGUUACUUACUAAUUUAAUGUAUGUGACUUUUGUAAUAGAUAUUAAUGUAAGAUAUAUUUCGAACUUUACUUUUAUUUGAAUUUUUUAUUUUAAUAUGAUUAACUCAAAAUCGAAAAAAAAAUGUAUUAGUUAAUCGGGGAUCGGGGACCCUCGGGGAUCCCCUGUUAUUAUCUUCNNNNNNNNNNNNNNNNNNNNNNNNNNNNNNNNNNNNNNNNNNNNNNNNNNNNNNNNNNNNNNNNNNNNNNNNNNNNNNNNNNNNNNNNNNNNNNNNNNNNACCUUAUUUGUGUUUUCAGAAAAUAGUGAAACUACCGGAGACAUUAUGCGAGUUGUAUAAUCUAGGAAAGUUAGAUAUUAGUUGUUGUUAUAGUCUUAAAGAAUUACCUGAAGGGAUUGGGAAGUUAAUAAACAUGAAGCAUUUACUAAAUAGAGAUACUCAUUCUUUAAGGUACAUGCCAGUAGGGAUUGGGAGAUUAACGGGUCUUAGGACCUUGGAUGAGUUCCACGUGAGUGCAGGAGGAGGUGUUGAUGAUAGGAAAGCAUGUAGGCUUGAAUCUCUAAAAAAAUUGGAACACCUUCAAGUAUGUGGUAUACGUAGACUGGGUGAUGUAUCAGAUGUGGGCGAGGCUAAGCGAUUAGAACUUGACAAAAAGAAAUACCUCUUCAGUUUGACCCUUGAGUUUGAUAAGAAGGAAAGAGGAAGAGAAAGGAGGAAGAACGAGGACGAUCAACUUCUUCUUGAAGCCCUGCGACCACCCCUGGAUUUUAAGGAAUUAGAGAUACGGUUCUACCGAGGCAACACUGUUUUCCCCAGCUGGAUGACGUCAUUAACCAACUUAAAGAGUUUAGAUCUCUGUAACUGCGAAAAUUGCGAGCAGCUGCCUCCUUUGGGAAAAUUGCCGUCCCUUGAAAAACUCAGCAUAAUGUUUAUGCCUGUGAAAAGAGUGGGUGAUGAAUUUUUGGGGAUAGAAAGUGGUCAUCGUGACUCAUCUUCAUCUUCAUCGGUUAUUAUUGCCUUCCCCAAAUUGAAAUCACUUUCAAUUGAGUCUCUGGACGAAUUGGAGGAGUGGGAUUAUGGGAUUACAGGAACGGGAAACACCUUCAUCAACAUCAUGCCACGUCUUUCUUCUUUGGAAAUUAAUUACUGCCCCAAAUUAAAGGCACUGCCCGACCACAUUCAUCAAACGACAACAUUGAAGGAAUUGCGCAUUUGGGGGUGUGACCUUCUGGAAGAACGUUACCGCAAGGGAGAAGGAGAAGACUGGCCUAAGAUAUCACACAUUCCCAACCUCCAUAUUGGGCUUUGACAAGUAAUUUCUUCUCUUACUCUGAUUUGCUUUGUUGUUGUUUUUAAUCUAAUUAAGAAGCGUAAAUAGCAUUUUGAAUCAAACUCUAUAUCAGAAAUCUGCAAUACUUACUUUCUAAUAUUCUGAUUUUCAUAUCCUAUGAAUAUACGAUUUUUAAUUUGUGAGAUGGGUAACGUUACUGUAAAAGAUUAUUAAUGCAAUAUGAGUAAUUCUUUUGCAGGACAAGUGACCUACAUUUAGUUUGGCUUUGGAGUUGAAUAAUAACCUUUCGGGAACUGGUGUGGACUGGCAAAGGAUGAUGAGAUAGUUUUUUGAGUGAGUAAAUUUUGGGAGCUUGAGUGUAUUGGGAUUUGCAAUUACAAUCAUCCUCUGCUUCAGGUGAUUUCUUCUCUUGCUCUGUCAUUGUUUGUUCUCUAAUUCAAAAGCAUGAAAUAUUUCAAUCAAUUUUUAUACCAGGAAUAUGCAAAAGUUUCUAAUAUUUUAUUUCCAUCUGUUACAAGAUCAAACUGAAGCAGAACUCAAACAAAAGUAUGCUACUUCUUGCGGAAAUCUUGCCUUUGUUCAGAUUAUGAAACCAUUUCCAUGCAGCAAAUUCAUCCAAAAGUUUGAAUAAGUUUCAUGGUCGGACACUGUUGGCUUCUUUUUCUUCUGGGGUGCAUUUAGGUGCUAUCAAGUGACAGCUGUAAGUAUGAUUGCACUAAGCUGCUGCUGGGAAAUUUGAGGUUUUGAUGGCUGCCCAUGUUAUUUUCAAGAAACUAUUGAUGUAAGAAGCCGUGGUUCUUUUCAUCAGCUUGAACCUGAAACUGUCGCUAUGGAUAACUCAGGUUUUUGUUAUCAACUAUAUCAUCUUUUUCACUAUUUUGAAACUCUUAAGAUUAAACGUUAGUAAAGUUGUUUCAGCUAUUCAAAUGAAAAACUCAUUGAUUUGAGACUUCCUUCAUUAUUGUUUCUAAUUACAAUGCUAACGAUCCAGAUAAAAUAAUAUUUAAUCGGCGAAGGUGUCCCUUGGAAGUACAUCCUUCUUUUUCUUUUAUUAUAUAAAUUCUUGCAAUGAGCUUAGUGAAGCUGUUGUGCUAUCAUGCCACUGCAUAAUUUGGCCCCUAAUGUGGGUACUCUGUUUCAUUGUUCUGCAAAUUCUCCAGCAGUUAAAAUCAAUAAAUUUUCUAUUAGCUCUAGUGCUUUGACCUAAAUGCUAUUCUAUAUUCUGAUUACAAUGUUUUAACCUUUAAAUUAACUACUCCUAGAUGUUGGAUUUUCUAGAACUUCAAAAUGAUUAAUGGAGAAAGAUCCCAUUAUCGUUAUUGCUAUAAGAAAUUGAUUUAUGCAUCCAAAGAUACAUUAUAUAUUUCUGUGUCUCUAUUUAUAGAUGACAUUUAAGCAUCCAUAAACCGUCAGACAGAGGAAGGGGGUUCAGUGCAAAGAUUCUGUUGACCUAGGGUUGACUGCAUAAUGUCACUUGUUCGCAAUCUAUUAUUUAUUUUAUAUUUUGAAGAAUUUAAUGGGUAAUCCUAAUUGUUUGUUUUGGCAGGUAUGUGUUGUUAUCUCCUUCUAUCUUACAGUCAUACCUAAAUAGCAUAGUUUCAUCUGUGUUACCAUGUGAUGUACAUAAUUUCACAUUUGCCUCAGAUUAAGCUUAAUUUCCCACAAAAUAGAGCUGUCGCGACUGGACUUAGGUUGAUGUCCAAAGAGGUAAAUUAUUGGCAUGCCUAGAUAAUUUGGCCAUUUCCUAAUUCAUAAGUCUACGUUAAUUUUGAUUUUGAGUUGACUGAUUUCUUUUCAAGGUCUGCUUCCUUAACGGAGUGACCAAUGUUUUUCAACUAAAUUUAUCAUAUGAUGCAGGAAGCAGGGCAGGAUAUGAAAUGAGAAGCUCAUUGGUGGAAGUAUUGCCAGUAGCAGAACCCAAUGAAAAUGAAACUAUUUCAAGGCAGCAGUUGGCAGUUGCAAGUGAAUGGAGGCCCUUGACAAAAUUCUCAAGCGGUUGCAAUGCAAUUACGAUCAUCCUCAGCCUCAGGUAAUUUCUUCUCCUGCUUUGUAUUUAUUUGUUAUCUAAUUAGGAAGCGUAAAGUAUCUUGAAUCAUUUUCUGUAUCUGGAAUAUAUGCAAGAGUUUCUAAAAUUUUGAUAUGAGUGUAAUGAUGGUAAUUUCUGUUUUCUGUCUGUCAUCAAAUGUUAGAAAACUUUCAUUGAGACCCUUGAACCGAGUCAUUUUUGACAAGUGAAGGACAAUUGCUGAAGAGUGGGAAUGGUGCUAGAUUGGGGAAUAAAGACAAAGGAGGUAAAUUAUUUGCAGUUUAUUCAGCAUUAUUUGCUUUGGACCAGCGCCUGAUUCACAAGUCUCCAUAAUUUGGCUUUUGACCAGUUAAUAAAUUUUUAAUUCCAUUGGUGCUAAAUGUACACGUGAAGCAGGCAGAGCAGGACUGUGGAAAUGAGAAGGUUUUUAGUGAAAGCUUAAACUCAGGUAAUUCUAAAAAGUACAUGUUUUUGCUGAUUUAUCUAAAUCAGGAAAUUUUAUUUCCAUCUGUUACAAGAUAAAACAGAAACAGUCAAACAGAACACACAGAAAAAUAUUCUACUUCUUGUGGCAAUCUUGCCUUCAUUCAGACAAUGAAACCAUUUCCUUUCACCAAUUUCUUCCAAAAGUUUGAAUAAGUUUCAUGGUUGGACAUAGUUAGCUUCUUUUUCUUUUGGUGCAUUUAGGUCCUAUCAAGUGACAGCCAUAAGUAUGAUUGCAUUAUUGGAAAAUUUUAGGUUUGGAUGGUUCCCCAUGUUAUUGCCAAGAAAGUCCUCAUGUCAGAAGCUGCGGUUCUUUUCAUCAGCCUGAACCCGAACCUGUCGUUAUGGAUAACUCAGGUUUUUGUCGUCAACUAUAUCAUCUUUUUUACUGUUUUGAAACUCUUAAGAUUAAACUUCAGUAAAGUUGUUUCAGUUAUCCAUGUAAUCCGGCUAAGGAUAUUUAGCAGCUUAUUUAGGCAACUGCCAGAAUUCAGUUUGUUUGCUCGAAACUUGUAUGGUGACAAGGAUACUGGCAAGGAUAGUGAGAUAGUUUUUUGUGUGAGUGAAAUUUGAAAGCUUGGGUGUUCUGGGAUUUGCAAUUGCAAUCAUCCUCUGAGUCAGGUGAUUUCUUCUCCUGCUCUGUCUUGAUUUUCUCUCUAAUUGAAAGCAUAAAGUAUUUCAAUCAAAUUCUGUACCAGGAAUACGUAAAAGUUACUAAUAUUUUAUUUCCAUCUGUUUGCAUUGAUAACUCGGCCGCAUAUGUUCUAGUUAAAGAACAAACAGAAACAGAGUUCAGGAAAAAGUUUCUUCGGCCACCAUAUUUGAAAAUGAAACCAUUUCCAGGAAGCAGUUGGCAGCAAAUUCAUAUGGAGUGUAGACAAUGAUGAGCGAAAAGGUGAUUCGCAAUUUCUUUUUUUUUUUUAAGUGAAAUUAUUUGUUAGAUUGAAGCUGAUAUUGUAAGAAGGCCAUUGAGCUAACCUAUGUCGCCACUUGCCUAGAUUGCAGGGGGUCAAGACUCAAAAGAAGCACUGAAAUUUAAAAAGCAUGCAAUAGUUCUUUUGCCAUGUGUCAAUUAAUGCAAGUUUGAAUAAGUUUAUUGGCUGAACGAUGUUAGCUUCUUUUCCUUUCGUGCACUUUGGUAUGCUAUCAAGUGACAGCCGUAUGUAUGGCUUGCAUAUAGCUGCUGCUGGGAAAAUUGACGAUUUCAUGGCUGGCCGUGUUAUUGUCUUAAAUUAGUUGUGAUAAGCUGUUGCUUGGAGAUUCUGUUGCCAAGACUUUGCUCACAUCAGAAGCUGUGGAAUCUGAACCCUUCGUUAUGUAUCAUCUUUUUCAUUGUUUUAAAACUCUCAGGAUUAAACUUGAGCGAAUUUGUUCGGUUGUCUAUAUAAUCAUGUAUUGAGUAAACUCUCAGGAAACUGAACAUGCAAAUGUUAUAACUCGGGUUGUUAGCCAAAAACUUGUUGAAUAGGGAUUUGGAUUUGUUAGGAAGUUAUCAUUUUUUAUUUUUUAUUUUGUUUUAUUUUUUUAUUUUUUUAUUUUUAUCUUCUGGUGGUGCUAUAUUUUCAAACGACAGUCCGAUUCAAAACUUGAUAUUCCAAUUAUAUUCAUAAGCUUCUAUAGUUAUCUUCAAAAAGACAAAUGGAAGGCUUUGAACGGCUUGGGUCUGAGUAUUGUAGUUUGAUUUAUUUUGAUGAAAGAACCUUUUGACAUUAAGAUUCUUUCAUGAGUUAAACAUUCUUUUUAAAACCAACUUAUUAAAAAAAAGUAACGAACAUAUAUUAUUUUGUUAGUGCUUUUUAAAUCAAAUAUAAAAAAGAGAACUGUAAUUCUUAGCAACCAAUUUUUCACUGAGUACAGCUACAACAAACUAUUAAAAAAUAAAGUGAUAGAAAAUGCCUGAUUUUUCGUACUUUCUAAUUACUUUUGGUCCUAAAAUAUGGCGAUUUGUGUAAUAAUAAGUCCAUGUAUAUCUUUAUGCCAUUAGUUUGAUAAAUAGCUAUCAAGGAUAACUUAUUAAGCUAAAAAUAUUUGAAGGAUAAAAUGAUAAAACUAAAAGGGUGGAGUAAUAUAGUUAUUUAGGAUUACAUAGUAAGUCAACUAUAUUCAAGGGAUAAAAUAUUAAAACUUGAAUAGUGAUAUUAAAAAUAUCUCGGUUAUUAUACUAUUAAAUCAUAUGCCGUAAUAGUAUUUUUUUUCAAACUUUAAAAAAUUCAGGAUUUUAAAUUAAAACAUGGAUUUCUUUAAGAUGCUAUAUAUGUUUUUUAUAGUAUUGAUAUUGGGAUUAGUGUGGACCCUUAGAUGAAAGAGUUUUAAUCUGAAUCAUUCAUUUAAUAUAAUAGAUAAUUAAAUAAUUAAUUAAAAUAUAGCAGGUAACUUAUAGGUUGUAGGUAAAAAAUUAAUUUUUUAAUUUUAAAUUAAAAUUAAUUUGGAAAAAUACCAUCCACACCCCUAAAGUUUACUUAAAUGAUCAUAUAAAUCCCUUUAGUUUCUACAUAGUUAUACAGAGCCUCUUAAUUUCAUAAAUUAUUAUUAUACUUUUAAUUAAAACAACCUAAAUGAAUAUAAAUAUAGUAAUAGGAUAGAAAUAAUAAAUAAAUAUCAGAUGAAACAAAUAAAAUAUUACAAUAAAUACAAUUAAUUAAAUAAUAUGUAUGAUGAAAAUUUUAUUCAUAUUAAGUUAUUAUUAGUCUAUCCCGAUGGAUUUACUCAAAUCAAUUAAUCCAAAAUUUAAUUUUAAGAUUGAUAUUAAUAUGGACAUAAUUAAAUAAGAUGUUGUAAUAUAUACUACUUUGAAUGUUAAGUAUAAUUAUCUAAUAUUAUUAGUAUGUGAAAUAGAUUUUAAUAUUAUUAAAAGAAUAUGACAAUAUAUAAUUUUGAAAUAAAUUUUUUAGUAUUCAUAAUAUUUUAUAAAUUUUAUCUUAUUUUAUAUAUUAUAUUUUUUUAUUUUAAUGUAUUAUAUAUGAUCAUUUAAGCAAAUUUUGGAGGUGCGGUGGUCUUUUCCCUAUUAAUUUUAUAGCAUAUUUAAAGUGUUAUAUCAUACAUCAUACAUCGCACUUUUGUUAAAGUGUUAUGUUAUUAAAAAUUAAACUUUGCAUUUAUAAUAUACUACCAUUUUAAUGUAAAGGUAAUAGAAAAUAUGAAGAUAUUUUUAAGUAGUCAAUUGUAGUUUUCUUUUACAAAAUAGCAGUAUAGAAAUACACACACACACACACACACAUAUCAAGUACUUGUAUGUUCCCCUAACUUUUAUUAAUAGGAAGGAAAUUAAAUUCAUAAUUUUCCCGGUGAAUUAUGAAUUGAUAAAUGAAAUAUAAAUAUUAGAAAAAAUUAAUUUGUCGACUAAAGAAGUAAACCAUAUUUUAUGGGCAUUUAAUACAUUAAUUUAAGGUCAAAUGAGAUAUAUCACAUGAUAUUUGAUAUAGUAGUCCAAUUUUCAACAUUUGCAUAUAGUUUCUAAGCUAGUAAUCUAAUAAAAUAUACCAAAUGAGAAAUUGAAGGCUAUUAUUUAUAUUUCACCAUUGGACAAACACCAUACAUUAGAAUAAAAAAAUCUCACAGUAGAGACGGCAUCUGUUUGCAUGUUUUGAAAAUAGAUUUUGAAAUUAGUUUAAUUACAUGAUAAUUAAAUUAUAUUAUAAAAUUAAGAAUAUGAUUUAAGUACUAUUUUAGCAAUUUUGAGUCUCACAUUGAGUAUUGAAGUUAAUUAAAUGUUGAAACUCUUUUCUAUUUGGCUUGAAAUCACUACUUAAUAAAAUUACAAAAAGUCAAUAAUGAAUGAUGUAGGACACAUAUGUAAAAUAAAUUUUAAAGUGUAAUUAAACAUUCCUAUCAAUAUUAGUUUUGUAUACAUAUUCAUAUAUUUUACUGAAACCAUAUAUAAUUAAAUUUUGUGUAAUUAAGUAAAAUAUAUUAUUCAAGUGAAUUUAUGAGAAUAUGUAAAAUUGUAGGGGUGGUCACUGAAAUUUGCCAAACUUGAGCCAACCGUGCAUGAUCCAAACAGUUUAUUUUAAUAAUUCUCAAUAUGUUAGUCUGUUUGACUGUUGGCAAAAUGAAUUCCUAUCAGCAAUGCAACACAAUUCAAAAUCAUAUCUGCAUACAACGAACAAUAUCUCAUCAAAGAUCAAAUUAUACAUUUUUUACACCAAAGCAUAAAUAUCUAAAUUGUCCCUCUUCAACUCACCAAGCUCAUACCUAACAACAGCAAGAUUAAAUGUCAUUUGAUCCAUCUUUUUUAUUAAGCUUUAUCAAUUCUUCUCAUGGUUGCAAUUUUGAAAGCUCGCUUCGCUAUUUCCAUUUGCUUUUAUGCUUUGUUUGAGCUCCAUCUACAUUUUACACUGUAAAAAAAAUUUAAAAAAAAUUACAAAGCUUCUUAUACUAGAAUAUGAGCAACAAUAUAAAUAAUAAACAAUAAAGUUAUGAUAGCACAGCAUACUCAUUAAAGUGCUUCUUUUUUUUUUUCAGCAAGAAAUUACUACUGAAUUAAAGAAUUGGCUUUGCAUUAAGGUUUGCCUUCAAUAACUCAACUCCCCACUUGGGUUUUGUCGUUUUCUUAAAAUCUCUGCUCAAUCAAUUUAAAGAUCCAUUUUUUUUUUCUUUCCAAAGAUCUAAAAGCAAUGUCUUUUAUUGGUACCCAACAAAAAUGCAAGGUCUGUGAGAAGACAGUUUGUCCAGUUGAACAGUUAUCUACUGAUGGGGUUGUUUAUCACAAGUCUUGCUUCAAGUGCUCUCACUGCAAAGGCACACUCAAGCUAAGCAAUUACUCAUCCCUGGAAGGUGCUCUUUACUGUAAGCCUCACUUUGAGCAGCUUUUGAAGGAGUCGAGUAACUUCAACAAGAAUUUCCAAUUACCUGCAAAGUCAGCUGAGAAGUUAACUCCUGAGCUGAGAAGGUCGCCUAGCAAAGUUGCCAGCAUGUUCUCUGGGCCCAAUAAAAAUGUGCUUCUUGCAGUAAAACAGUGUGUCCGUGGGAGAACGUAGCAGCGGAAAACCAAGCCUCUCACAAGACAUGUUUCAAGUGCUCACAUGGUGGUUAUUCCAUUAGCCCGUCAAAUUACGCAGCCCUAGAAGGCAUCUUGUAUUGCAAACAUAAUUUCUCCCAAUUGUUCAAGGAAAAAGGCAGCUACAACCACCUUAUAUAAAAUCUGCUUCCAUGAAGCGUGCUGCAGUCUCUGUUCAAGAAGCUUGAACAUGUUAUGUUAUCUUCCAUAAAUCUUAUUUGGCGUGGGUUUUCUCUGGCUUGAGGGUGUGCUUUCUAUUUUGAUCCCUCUUGUUGUUUUUGCGGGGAACUACCAAACCUUCGGUUCCCUCUGCUUCUUUGGAUCAUCUUUGUUGGGACAAAUUUCAUGUAAUUAGAGAUACUGAUUUAUGGGAGGCAUAAUCCCAUGGUCGUAAAUUGACCAUUUUCUGGCAAUGUUCUUUUUAAAAAGAGAUGAGCAGUUGUUUAACAAAAAAAAUAGCUGGCCUUCAUCAUGGUAUGUUACCAAACUGCUAUGUAUAGCUGCUAACUAUGAGCAUCCGAAAAUAUGGUGCAUCGUGAUUCAUGUAGUGCAAUAUGGCUACCAACGCAUCCUAAAUGGAGUAUUACUCAGUUAGUCAGCAAAAUAAGACAACAUAACUGAUAUUAAAAAAAUAAAAAAACUACAUUAAUAAGUGGGCAAGAUCAUGCCAGUUUAACUUUUCGCGCGUCGCUGCUGGAGAUAAUCAAAUCGGGGCAGAGAAAAGGAGAAUGGAAUCAGAGGCUAAGAUUAAUAAGUGGGCUUCUGCUUGCUUUGCCCCUCUUUCUUAAACGAUUGGUAGACUGCUGCUUCCACCGAUUAACCGGGUCUUCAACCACUGCUUUUACUGCCUGCCAUCUUGUUGUUUGUCGAAGGGAUGAAUUCGAGUCGAAAAGAGAAAGCGCGCUGAAAAAGAUAAAUCACUAGUGGUUAACUGCUUACUCAGCCAAGUGUUGGCUUCACUUGAUUCACCGAUUGAGGUUAUUUUGUCUUCUAUCUAAUGCAGCGAAGAAGCUUUGCUGCUUAACAUGCUGCAAUGCAACUUUAUCCUUUGAAGUUCACACUUCAGGGCUGCGCACUUUAUGUAAUCCUAUGAGUAAAAAGAAUUUGUUUUCAAAUGUGAAAAAAGAAAAUGUAAGGUAGUAACUAAAUAUUUUAUAGCAUCAAAGCAAUAUUUGAUAUGAAUUUAGUACAACAAAGAACAUCAAAUCUGUGAUUCCUUGUCUAGUGUCACCAUCGAGCAACAAAUUUAAAAGCCUACCUAUCAAAUACACGAGGCAAUAAACGGAGAAAAAGUUGAAUUACAAGAACAAGUUUACAAUUCUUGUCAAUGGUUAAUGAUUUGUGAACUGAGACAGCUUUCAAGAAUCCAAUUUCAAUACAACAACGUAAAAGAUAAACAGAUGAUGAAUUCUAUGAGAUAAAGAAGGAGAUCGUGUUUUAUCGUAUCUCUAUUUUCUUUCUUUUUAAAUUUAAAAUAAGCUUUUCAACCGGUUUGUUAACCGGUUAUAAUAUUUUUUAAAAUAAUUAAAUAUUUUCAUUAUUAAAAAUAAUGUGUACCGUUGAUUACAUCUAACGGUAUAUAUUUCUUACACUACUAAUAUCGUAAAAAAAAAAUACAGCAUCAUAGAGGGACCCUUAAAACAUUUUCAUUUGAAAUUAUUUGGUGAAGUGAAAAAGUUAAGAAAGAAAUAGUUGUCCCUUUGGUCAUUUCACAAAAAUGAAAGCCCCAUAUAACAUGGACUUGAAUGGAAGCCCAAUUGUUGUGUUUGAUUUCAAGCUUUAUCGGACCUUUGGACCUGGAUACUUUACUGCGGCCUCUAAGCGCUACAAAUUUUUUUUUUGGGAUAAAAGGCGCUUCAAUGAAAAAGCACUUUAAAACUUUGGAUUUUGCCAAAACUUCAAAGCGGUUGGUCCGGUUACGGUGUUAUGCUAACGGGUUUAAAGGUUCUGAUCCAAUGAGUUAGGGUGGAAUAUGAAUAUAUAAAUUCCAUAGCAUGUGAGGACUAGGAUUUGUUUGUUCAUAUCAAGAAAAAAGAUCUGAAAAUUUGAUGAUCAGAAGAUAAAAACACUUAAACACGUUUAUUACAGAGAAACAAACGACAACACGAUACUAGUAGUAGUUAUUCUUUUCAUCCGAUAUAUUACAUGGUAAUAUCACCACUCGUUCCACUGGUUUCAUAUACACCAUCGACCAGCAACAUGAUAAUUUUGUGUCAGUUCAUUUUGUUUGUAGGAAAGAGCAGUAUCUUUUUUAGAACUUGAAAAUAAUAAAAAGAUUUUAAAAUAUAAAUUGCAUAUUUGUUUAUUGCUGUUGUUUGGUCUAAUUUCUUACGUAGAAUUGCUUGUCAUUCUUUGUACGUUAUUGAUUAUAUUUUUGUCAGACUUGGCGUAUAUAUUCACAUAUGUUUUAUUUUGUCAUUUUGUAGAACAUUUUUACAUGCCAUAUUAUCACGACUCUUCUGUGUCUGAAUAAGAAGAAAGCAUAAUGCGACCCUCCAACAGCUUAAUCUAUGGAAUUAUCGUGUUUUGUAAGUUGAGGUCCAAUGGCGUUUUGGCACAUCAUAUGAUAGACCACUAUAUUGCGUUGCUUUACAAAAGAUUAAUAUUUUUAAAAUUAUUAGGUAAGUUUAGGCUCAGUGGCACUUUAACUCAUGAUAUGAUAGUCCAGGUUUUCAUCAGCCUGAACAUGGACCUGUCGCCAUGGAUAACUCAGGUUUUUUUUUUUUUAAUCAACUACGUCAUCUUUUCCACUGUUUUGAAACUCUUAAGAUUAAACUUUAGUAAAGUUAUUUUAGUUAUCCAUGUAAUCAAGCUGAGGAUACUUAGCUGCCUAUUUAGGCAAAUGUCAGAAUUUAGUUUGUUCGCUGGGAACUGGUGUGGUGACAGCGUCCUGGCAAAGGAUGAUGAGAUAGUUUUUUGAUUGAGUAAAUUUUGGGAGCUUGAGUGUAUUGGGAUUUGCAAUUACAAUCAUCCUCUGCCUCAGGUGAUUUCUUCUCCUGCCCUGUCGUUGUUUGUUCUCUAAUUCAAAAUUAUAAAAUUUUUCAAUCAAAUUUUAUGCCAGGAAUAUGCAAAAGUUUCUAAUAUUUUAUUUCCAUCUGUUUGCCUUGAUAACUUUGCGGCAUAUGUACUAGUUAAAUCCCUCAAAACGUAAACAAAACUCUGUUGGUAUUGAUUCCUAAGGUGGACCAUCCUACCAGUUUAACGAUGUUUCGGCCUAUAAGUUUAUGCACUGUCGCCUAUAAGACAGUGACUAAAAUUAUUGCCACUCGUUUACAAGAACUAUUACCUGAGCUGAUCGGGCCUCAUCAGACAAGUUUUGUUCCCGGACGACACAUUGUGGACAACAUUGUUAUUGCUCAGGAAGUGGUUCACUCCAUGCGCAGAAAAACUGGUAAAAGAGGGCUUAUGGCUAUUAAGGUGGAUCUCGAGAAGGCAUAUGAUCGGCUGAACUGGUCGUUUAUUUUUGAAACUCUUCAAUUGACAGGGCUCCCGAUUCAAUUAUCUCGGCUCAUCAUGGAAUGUGUUAAAUCAGCUAGCAUGAAUAUUUUGUGGAAUGGCGAGGUAACUGAGGAGUUUUUUCCGGGAAGAGGUAUUCGGCAGGGUGACCCUCUAUCUCCGUAUAUUUUUGUGCUCUGCAUCGAGCGUUUGAGCCAUGGAAUAUCCCAAGCUGUGGGGGAUGGAAGUUGGAAGCCAAUUCGGCUGGCUAAACAUGGCACUCCCCUUACCCACCUUUUUUUUGCUGAUGAUUUGCUUUUAUUUGCAGAAGCUUCGAUUGAUCAAGCUCAUAUCAUUGAUGCGGUUUUGGAGAAUUUUUGUCGAAGUUCUGAAGUAAAGGUUAACAAAGUGAAAACUACAAUUUUCUUUUCGAAGAACGUUGCUGCAAGAGAGGCCAAGCUCAUUGGUGCUGCCUUGGGGGUUUCGAUUACUCAUGAUCUGGGAAGCUAUCUUGGAAUGCCGUUACUUCAUUCGAGGGUGAAUAAAGCUACGUAUCAAUCUAUUUUAGACAAGGUAGACAUAAGGCUCAGUGGCUGGAACGCGGCUCAUUUAUCCUUUGCUGGUCGUGUUACUUUGGCGCAAUCGGUGAUUCAAGCUAUGCCAAUUUAUGCAAUGCAAACGACCAUGCUUCCUGCUUCGGUGCGCCAUAGAAUUGAUAAGAGCUGCCGUAGAUUUAUUUGGGAUGGGAAGUCGAAGAGUCCUAAGAUGUGCAUGGUGGGCUGGGAUAAAAUCUGCUUGCCGAAAUCAAGUGGUGGCUUGGGGUUUAAGAACUUAGAGGUGAUGAAUCAUGCCCUGUUGAUGAAGAUUAGUUGGGGCAUUAUCUCCAACUCAGAUAAGUUAUGGGUGCGGGUUCUCUGUUCCAAAUAUGGAUUGGACCCAUGCAAUUUGCCGUCUUCCCUCCCUGACAAACAAGGUUCGCGUAUCUGGUCUGCUAUAAGAAAAACGUGGAAUGCAACCAUGCAUGGAGCUCGCUGGGCAGUGUGUGAUAGUGCUCGAAUUCGUUUCUGGCUGGACUGUUGGGUGACGAAAUAUGAGCCUUUGAUUCACCUAGCUCUCCAACCGAUCCCUCAGGCCUCUCUCAAUGCUACGGUUAGCGAAUUUACUAAUGAUUAUGGUGGCUGGAGAUGGGCGAGCUUUGAAUUCCUACUGCCCCCUUCUGUUCUUAUGCAGAUUGCCUCGAUCAUGCCACCUGCGCCGCAUCUUGGUCCUGAUAGACUAUAUUGGAGUUAUAAUCCAAGAGGGUUGUUCACAGUCCGAACUGCUUAUGAGUCUCUUUGCUACCAUAACUUAGACACUCAAGAUAAAGUAUGGAAAUUGCCAUGGUCUUGGAAAGGGCCCCAAUCUAUAAAGCUCUUUAUUUGGCAGACUUUGCAUGGCAAAUUGAAGACCCACAGUGAGCUUAAUAGGCGUAAUAUCCCCGUUUCUGAAGUUUGUGUUAGGUGUGGGGUUUCGGCUGAGGGCAUUCUUCAUGCUGUGAGAGAUUGUAGUUGCAUUAAGAAUCUAUGGCUUAGUCUUGUUCCAACCUGUCAUCAACUUGCUUUCUUCCAAUCCAACUUACGUGCAUGGGUUGCUGCCAACAUGCAAAAUACGUGGAAAAUUGAUUCGGAGCUUCCUUGGGAUUGUAUUUUUGGAGUGGCUAUUUGGAGAUUAUGGUUUUGGCGUAAUCAAUUUAUUAUGGCUGGGAAUUUGGUAGAUAGCAAGACAAUAUAUUCGGAUAUUAUGGCCAGAGCUAGUGAGAUCCAUAGAAUUAAUAACUCACAUCUCAGCCCACAACCAAGGCGUAAGGAGAUUUUUAUUGGUUGGUUGCCUCCUCCAUGGCCAUGGUGUAAGUUGAACACAGAUGGUUUCUGUAAACAUACAGGAGCAACUGCAGCGGGUGGGGUUAUUCGCGACUCCGUUGGUAACUGGGUCUCAGGCUUUAGUAUGAAUAUUGGGGAAAGCUCAGUGAUUAUGGCUGAACUUUGGGGCCUGUAUCAAGGAUUGUCCCUCGCCUGGAAUGUUGGAAUUAGACAUCUUUUGGUGGAAGUAGACAGCCUCUGUGUAACUCAGAUGAUUUCUCAACAGAUGGUUGUGCCUAAUGUCUCCUACGCUUUAGUGGUGGCAAUUCGUGAUUUUUUAAACAGAAAUUGGCAGAUUAAUAUCUCGCAUAUCUACCGUGAAGCGAACUCAGCUGCGGAUUUCAUGGCAAAUAUGGCCCAUUUAAUACCGCAUGGUCUACAGUUAUUCUCUAACCCGCCUGUGGGUAUUUAUUCUAUUCUUUCACAAGACAUGUAUGGGGUUUGUCAACCCCGCAUUAUUCCUAUCUAGCUCGCCUUGAUGAGCCCCUUUUAAUAAAAAAAAAAAGAAGAACAAAUCGAAACAGAGCUCAGUUAAAAGUUUCUUCUGCCGUCAUAUUUGAAAAAUGAAACCAUUUCCAGGAAGCAAUGGGCAGCAAAUUCAUAUAAAGCGUAGACAAUGAUGAGUAAAAAGGUAAUUCACAAUUUCACUUUUUUUUUAAUGAAAUUAAUUGUUUGGUUGGAGAGGAUAUUGUUAGAAGGCCAUUGAGCUAACCUAUGUCACUACUUGCCUAGAUUGCAGGGGGUCAAAACUCAAAAGAGGCAUUGAUUUUAAAAGGCAUCCAAUAAUUCUUGUGGCCAUAUAUCAAUUCAUGUAAGUUUGAUUGUAAUUAUUGGUGAAGGGGUUUCACUUCCCGUCUCUAAAUAAAAAUACUGAUUCUUUAAGGUACAUGCCACUAGGGAUUGCGAGAUUAACGAGUCUUUGGACAUUGGAAGAGCUCCUUGUGAGUGGAGGAGGAGGUGUUGAUGGUAGCAAAGCAUGUGGGCAGUGGGCUUGAAUCUCUUAAAAACUCGGAACUCCUCCAAGCGUAAGUAUACGUAUACUGGGAAAUGUGUUAGAUGUGGAUGAGGCUAAGAGAUUAGAGCUUGACAAAAUGAAAUACCUCUUUCAUUGAGACUUAAAUUUGAUGGGGAAGAAGAAAAAGAAGAGGGAAGGAGGAAGAAUGAGGAUAAUCAACUUGUUCUUGAAGCCUUGCAACCACCUCUGAAUUUGAAGGAAUUAGAGAUUUGGUCAUACAGAGGCAACAUUUGUUUUCAAAUGUGAAAAAAGAAAAUGUAAGGUAGUAAUUAAAUAUAUUAUAGCAUCAAAGCAAGAUUUGAUAUGAAUUUAAUACAACAAAGAACAUCAAAUCUGUGAUUCCUUGUCUAAUGUCACCAUCGAGCAACAAAUUUAAAAGCCUACCUAUCAAAUACACGAGGCAAUAAACGGAGAAAAAGUUGAAUUACAAGAACAAGUUUACAAUUCUUGUCAAUGGUUAAUGAUUCGUGAACUCGGACAGCAUUCAAGAGUCUAAUUUCAAUACAACAACGUAAAAGAUAAACAGAUGAUGAAUUUUAUGAGAUAAAGAAGGAGAUCGUGUUUUAUCGUAUCUCUAUUUUCUUUCUUUUUAAAUUUAAAAUAAGCUUUUCAACCGGUUUGUUAACCGGUUAUAAUAUUUUUUAAAAUAAUUAAAUAUUUUCAUUAUUAAAAAUAAUGUGUACCGUUGAUUACAUCUAACGGUAUAUAUUUCUUACACUACUAAUACCGUAAAAAAAAAAUACGGCAUCAUAGAGGGACCUUAAAACAUUUUCAUUUGAAAUUAUUUGGUGAAGUGAAAAAGUUAAGAAAGAAAUAGUUGUCCCUUUGGUCAUUUCACGAAAAUGAAAGCCCCAUAUAACAUGGACUUGAAUGGAAGCCCAAUUGUUGUGUUUGAUUUCAAGCUUUAUCGGACCUUUGGACCUGGAUACUUUACUGCGGCCUCUAAGCGCUAUAAAUUUUUUUUUGGGAUAAAAGGCGCUUCAAUGAAAAAGCACUUUAAAACUUUGGAUUUUGCCAAAACUUCAAAGCGGUUGGUCCAGUUACGGUGUUAUGCUAACGGUUUUAAAGGUUCGGAUCCAAUGAGUUAGGGUGGAAUAUGAAUAUAUAAAUUCCAUAGCAUGUAAGGACUAGGAUUUGUUUGUUCAUAUCAAGAAAAAAGAUCUGAAAAUUUGAUGAUCAGAAGAUAAAAACACUUAAACACGUUUAUUACUGAGAAACAAACGACAACACGAUACUAGUAGUAGUUAUUCUUUUCAUCCGAUAUAUUACAUGGUAAUAUCACUACUCGUUCCACUGGUUUCAUAUACACCAUCGACCAGCAACAUGAUAAUUUUGUGUCAGUUCAUUUUGUUUGUAGGAAAGAGCAGUGUAUUUCUUAGAGCUUGAAAAUAAUAAAAAGAUUUUAAAAUAUAAAUUGCAUAUUUGUUUAUUACUGUUGUUUGGUCUAAUUUCUUAUGUAGAAUUUUCAGAAUCUGUAGGACGUUAAUUUAUAACUUUGGUAAUUUAAUUAUUUUCUUUUUAUUAAUGUCCGGACAAAAAAUUAUUAUAAAAGGGUAAUAUUGUAAAAGUAAGCCAAAAUAAAUAACAAAUAACGAUAAGAGUAUCAAUAUUUUAAUAGCAGGGAUAUUUCGAGAUAUUUUUAAAAAUACAGAGACUAACUGGACAUUAAUCUUAAAAUAUAAGGACUAAAUGAGCUUUUACCCUUUUUAUAAUCCACACCAUCCUGAUAUAAUUAAACACCAUUAAUAAUGUACCAGCCUUUUAAUAGUAAUUAAUUUAUUUAGUUGGCCACCUAAAAGAAUCCUGCAGGAAAUACUAGUUAAAAAAUUUAUUAAAUUUGAUUACCUCUGUAUCAUUAUAUAUAUAAAGACUGAAAUCCAAAUGAAAUAUUUUAUCAUUCAUUCAGCAAACACUUAUAAAACACAAAUAGUGAAUCUAUGCAUUGACAAUGUGGAUUAAGAAUUAUAACACAUGAAUUCAAACAUACCCUCGUGAAGUUAAGAAUAAGUUCAUACUUCAAAUGAUUUUUUUAGCUAAUAAAGCAAUCACUUUCAUUAAACGACAGUGUUGAAGGAAUUGUGCAAUUUUUUACGUUCUUUUCUAGACAGACGUUACAGAGAUGGGGAAAGUAGAGGACUGGCCUCAGAUAUCUCACAAUUAUUAUUCUUUUUCAUUGUUAUAAUAAUAAUUUUUUUCUUUUGACAGUUCUGCAGGACAAGUGAUCAGAGCUCAAUGAAUAUAUCCGUGGAGGGUGAACUUAGGUUGAUGUCAAAAGAGGUAAAUGAAUUGGCCUGUUUAUAUAUAUAUAUAUAUAUAUAUAUAUAUAUAUAUAUAUAUAUAUAUAUAUAUAUAUAUAUAUAUAUAUAUAUAUAUCAUAUAUAUAUAUAUAGAGAGAAAUGUUCCAGUCAGGAAUUUUAAAGUGCAGGAAAGUACGGGAAACCUUUAAAACCGCAUGGUUUUAAAGGCUUAAAACUGUAAGCCUUUAAAGCNNNNNNNNNNNNNNNNNNNNNNNNNNNNNNNNNNNNNNNNNNNNNNNNNNNNNNNNNNNNNNNNNNNNNNNNNNNNNNNNNNNNNNNNNNNNNNNNNNNNAGAAUUUCUCUGUUAAUAUAUAUAUAUAUAUAUAUAUAUAUAUAUAUAUAUAUCAUAUGAUGCAGGCCACAGCAGAGCAGGAUUAUGAAAAAGAGAAGCUUAUUAAUAAGUGUUUACUUGCUUUUGAAAUAUAUAUAUAUAUAUAUAUAUAUAUUUCAAAUUCAAGUUUACUUGCUUUUAUAUAAUAAGUGUUUUGGCCGAUUUAUCUAAUUCACCAAAUGUCAUUUCCGGUACAUAUCUCCAUUGGUAUCAAGAAGAGGCAGAACCCAAAGAAACGUUUCUUGCAUCUUCAUAUUUAUGCGAAUUCAUCCUUUCAUUGAGAAUAACCAUUUCCAGCCGGCAGUUGGCAAUCAAUACGCACGUCGAUGCUAUUCAUAGAUAUUAAAGACAAUGAUGAACCAAAGGUGAUAAAUCAUAAAUGUAUAAUUACCAAACAUCCAUCCUUCUCUCAUUAUGAUUUGAUUUUAAAUGAAUUAUUGCUUGGUAACAUUAUUUCCAACCAUUGCAAGAUUAUUAUUAUUAUUUUUUUUUGGGAGAAAUUUCAAUUGAAAGUGAAACCUUUAGACAUUUACCUAAUGAAGUUAGUUACUCGGGAGGGUGGAAAAAAAAAAGUUGACGCAAGUCAAUACACAAUAAUUAAUUAAAUCCGGAGUGACUAAAACAGAGCCACUACUUUUUCAAAAAUAUCUGCAUUCAUCACUUUCUCCAGCAGCUAGUCAGCUACACACGAAUCAAUUUCUCUCCUCGUUUGUCAUCCAAAAUUAUUCACCAAUACCAUGGUUGAUGCCGUCGUUUCCACUAUCUUGGAGCAGCUGAUUUCCUUCGCUGCUGAAGAGAUAAAACAACAGGUGAUCGAAGUUACACCCCUCAUAUUACAAAUACUUCCAAUGAUUUUAAUAAAUUUUGUUUUUAUCAAAAACAUUAUAUAUUUUUGCUUUAUUUUAUUUAUCUGGUAAUUUUAGAUUUUGAAAUUUGAAUUGAAUUUAAUUAAAAGGUGAUGUAGUUAGUAACCACUUAUUUUUAUUUUAUUUCAUUUAUAUUCUCAAUAACUACUCAUAUUUUGGUAACUUACUAUAACUUUCAUAUCUAAGAAAUGAUCAAAACCCACAAUUUUAACUCAGCACGAAUAUUCAACGUUGAGUCAUUAAUUCUAAACUCAGCACUGAAUCCCAUAGCUAUUACUUAGACUCUAUGAAAAAUUUCAUAGUUUUCUUACGUUCUUUGAGUUUGGUAAGUGAUUUCGUAUAAUUUCUUUUCAAGUUAAAUUUUAAUUUGGUUUAUGAUAUAGUCUCUGUGCCGAAUUGUAUCUUUUAUGAUUCUUGGAUUUUGGGCUUCAACUUUUUAGGAUUUGAUAGUCAUAUAUUUAUGCCAUGCUCAGAUUGAUUUUCAUGAUUUUUAGUAGCCGUUAAGUGACUUACAAUUUGACGAAAGUUUGAAAGGAAAAAUGUUUCAGGAUUCUGUUUUAAUUUACCUUUUAGUAGAAAUAGGAUGCUUAUAACUUAAUGUGGAUGGUUCGUAAAAUCAUGAAAUUUGGAUAGGAUUCACUAGAAAUAUGUACAAGACUCUCCAUAAAGUUUCAUAAUUUUUCAUUCGGUAUGGGGUGGUACAGGUGAAACUUGUGGUUGGUGUUGAAAAAGAAGUGAAAAGCCUUACCAGCCACCUUGAAGCCAUUCAAGUUGUGCUCGAUGAUGCAGAGGAAAAGCAAGUGAAGGACAAAGCUGUUAGUCUUUGGCUGGGUAGGCUCAAGUACGCAUCCUACGACAUUGAAGAUGUGUUGGAUGAGUGGAUCACAGCAAGACGCAAAUUGCAAAUUGAGGGUGGCGUUGAUGAAAAUGCUCUUGUUGUUCCUCAUAAGAAAAAGAAGGUAUGUCUCUGCUUUCCCGGCUCUUGUUUUGGAUUCAAACAAGAAGAAUUUGGUUUCAAACAAGUCUUUCUCCGUCAUGACAUUGCCGACAAGAUCAAAGAAAUCAAUGAAGAGCUACAUGAUAUUGCCGCUCAAAAAGACAUGUUUGAUCUUGUUAAGAGUGGCAAUAAAAGUAGUGAAAGACCAAGGCGUGUACAGAGUACCUCCUUGAUUGAUGAGGAAGAGAUUUGUGGUAGAGUUGGUGAGAGGAAUGAACUCAUAAGCAAGCUGUUGCGUGAGAGUAGCGAGCAACAAAAAGGCCUCCAUAUCAUCUCAAUUGUUGGUAUGGGAGGCAUAGGGAAAACUACUCUUACACAACUAGCUUGUAAUCAUGAUGAGGUGAAGAGAAAGUUCGACAAAAUUCUGUGGGUGUGUGUAUCAGAAACUUUUGAGGAGUUUAUGGUAGCCAAAGCGAUCGUUGAAGUUUUGGAUGGUCGUGAAUCUCAUUUAGCUGAAUUCCAUUCUCUUCUUCAACAUAUUUAUGAAUCAAUUGCAGGGAAGAGCUUUCUUCUUGUCUUAGAUGAUGUGUGGGAUGGAAAUUACUUGAAAUGGGAACCAUUCUACCGUUGUCUAAAGAAUGGUCUCCAUGGAAGUAAAAUUUUAGUUACCACACGUAGUGGGUCUGUUGCAUCCACGAUGGGAUCCACAGAUAUUAUCUCCGUCAAGGAGUUAGCUGAAGAGGAAUGUUGGUUGUUGUUUAAAAAGAUAGCAUUUUUUGAUCGGUCCAUCGAGGAACGUGAAAAAUUAGAACAAAUUGGGCAAAGAAUUGUAGGCAAGUGCAAAGGUUUACCUCUUGCAGCAAAGACAAUAGGGAGUCUCAUGCGUUCUAAACAAACUGAAGAAGAGUGGAAAAGAAUUUUAAAUAGUGAUUUAUGGAAAGUAGAAGAGAUUGAGAAAGAUGUUUUGUCCUCUUUAUUGUUGAGUUAUAAUGAUUUGCCAUCUAGAGUAAAAAGAUGUUUUUCAUAUUGUGCUGUCUUUCCAAAAGACUACGAUAUAAAAAAAGACGAACUAAUCACAUUAUGGAUGGCUCAAGGUUAUCUUAGUGCGGAACAAGAUGAAGAGAUGGAGACAGUAGGUGAAGAGUAUUUUGGCAUCUUAGCUUCUCGCUUGUUUUUUCAAGAGUUUAAGAAAAGUUAUGAUAAUCGUAUUAUAGAGUGCAAGAUGCAUGGUAUGGUACAUGAUUUUGCCCGAUUUGUAAGUCAAAAUGAAUGUUUUUCGAUGGCAAUUAAUGGUAGUGAAGAACCAAACGCCACAAACUCUCUUGAUGAGAAGGUCCGUCAUUUAAUGUUAAUCUUUAGUAAAGGGGCUUCAUUACCUGUUUCCACUCGUAGAGUUAAAAGAAUGCGUACCCUCGUAAUUAACGAUAGUAGAUCAUUAAAUGGCGAGAUCCUAGAAGAAUUAUUUAGGGAAUUGACAAGUUUAAGGGCAUUAGAUUAUGGCGGAUCGCCCCACUCAAGGCCGUUGUUGACUGCGGAGGUUCCAAGAAACAUAGAAAAGCUGGUACAUUUGAGAUACCUUAAUUUGUCUUUUCAGAAAAUAGUGAAACUACCGGAGACAUUGUGCGAGUUGUAUAAUCUAGAAAAGUUAGAUAUUAGUUGUUGUUUGUAUCUUAGAGAAUUACCUGAAGGGAUUGGGAAGUUAAUAAACAUGAAGCAUUUACGAAAUAGAGGUACUAGUUCUUUAAGGUACAUGCCAGUAGGGACUGGGAGAUUAACGGGUCUUAGGACCUUGGGUCAGUUCCAGGUGAGUGCAGGAGGAGGUGUUGAUGGUAGGAAAGCAUGUAGGCUUGAAUCUCUUAAAAAAUUGGAACACCUUCAAGUAUGUGGUAUACGUAGACUGGGUGAUGUAUCAGAUGUGGGCGAGGCUAAGCGAUUAGAACUUGACAAAAAGAAAUACCUCUUCAGUUUGACCCUUGAGUUUGAUAAGAAGGAAAGAGGAGGAGAAACGAGGAAGAACGAGGACGAUCAACUUCUUCUUGAAGCCCUGCGACCACCUCUGGAUUUAAAGGAAUUAGUGAUACGGUACUACCGAGGCAACACUGUUUUCCCCAGCUGGAUGACGUCAUUAAUCAACUUAAAGAGUUUAGAUCUCUCUUCCUGCGAAAAUUGCGAGCAGCUGCCUCCUUUGGGAAAAUUGCCGUCCCUUGAAAAACUCGGCCUAUCGGACAUGAAGAGUGUGAAAAGAGUGGGUGAUGAAUUUUUGGGGAUAGAAAGUGAUCAUCAUGGCUCAUCUUCAUCUUCAUCGGUUAUUAUUGCCUUCCCCAAAUUGAAAUCACUCUCAAUUGAGUUUCUGCGCGAAUUGGAGGAGUGGGAUUAUGGGAUUACAAGAACGGGAAACACCGUCAUCAACAUCAUGCCACGUCUUUCUUCAUUGACAAUUGUUGAUUGCACCAAAUUAAAGGCACUGCCCAACCACAUUCAUCAAACGACAACGUUGAAGGAAUUGUGCAUUGUGGAUUGUGAGCUUCUGGAAGAACGUUACCGCAAGGGGGAAGGAGAAGACUGGCCUAAGAUAUCACACAUUCCCAACAUAGAUAUUUUUUAAGAAGGAUUUGCGCAUUCGAGAUUUGGCGUUGACAAGUAAUUUCUUCUCUUACUCUGAUUUGCUUUGUUGUUGUUUUUAAUCUAAUUAAGAAGCGUAAAUAGCAUUUUGAAUCAAACUCUAUAUCCGAAAUCUGCAAUACAUACUUUCUAAUAUUCUGAUUUUCAUAUCCUACCAUUUUUAAUUUGUGAGAUGGGUAACGUUACUGUAAAAGAUUAUUAAUGGAACAUGAGUAAUUCUUUUGCAGGACAAGUGACCUACAUUUAGUUUGGCUUUGGAGUUGAAUAAUAACCUUUCAAGGCCAGGACCCAAAAGCAGGAAAAACAAAAAAAGGAACGAAGCUUAAUUUUGCCACAGAUUACAUGUAUUGCCAUUAUUGACAAGUUUCUGGACAAGUGAUCAAGGGUGAGAGUGGUGCUACAACAUUGAAUAAAGCAGUCGUGACUGAAUUUAGGUUGUGUCAAAAGUGGUAAAUUAUUUGCAUGUGUAGCUAAUUUGACCAUUUCCUGAUCUAUAAGUCUAUAUUAAUUUUGAUUUUUAGUUGAGUGAUUACAUUUCAAGGUUUGCUUACUUAACAGGGCGACCAAUUUCUUUUAACUAAAUGUAUUAUAUGAUGCAGGAAGCAAGGCAGGAUAUGAAAUAAGAAGCUUAUUAAUGGCAGUUGGCAGUGAAUGGAGGCCCUUGACUAAAUUCUCAAGCGGUUGCACUGCAAUUACGCUUAUCCGUAGCCUCAGGUAAUUUCUUCUUCUGCAUUUUUGUAAUUUGUUAUCUAAUUAAGGGGCGUGAGCUAUUUUGAAUCAAAUUCUAUAUCAGGAAUAUAUGCAACAUUUUUUAAAAUUUUGAUAUGAGAGUAAUGAUGGUAAUUUCUCUUUUUUGUCUGUCAUCGAAUGUUAAAUAACAUUCACUAAGACUCUUGAGAGUCAUUUUUUGACAAUUGCAGGACAAGCGACGAAGAGUGAGAAUGGUGUUAGAUUGGGGAUUGAGGCAAAAGGAGGUAAAUUAUUGGCAGAGAAUUUGGGAGCUUGAGUGUACAGGGAUUUGCAAUUACAAUCUUACUCUGCCUUAGGUGAUUUCUUCUCCUGCUUUGUCAUUGGUUGUUCUCUAGUUGAAAAGCAUAAAGUAUUUCAAUCAAAUUCUAUACCAAGAAUAUGCAAAACUUUAUUUCCAUCUGUUUGCAUUGAUAACUUUGCGGCAUAUGCGCUAGUUAAAGAACAAACAGAAACAGAGGUCAGGAACAAGUUUCCUCUGCCGUCAUAUUUGAAAAUGCAACCAUUUCCGGGAAGUAGUUGGCAGCAAAUUCAUAUAAAGUGUAGACAAUAAUGAGCAAAAAGGUGAUUCACAAUUUUAUUUUUUUUAAAUUAAUUGUUAGGUUGGAGUUGUUAAAAGGCCAUUGAGCUAACCUAUGUCAUUAGUUACCUAGAUUGCAGGGGGUCCCGAGACUCCAAAGAAGCAUUGAAUUUUAAAAGGCAUGCAAUAAUUCUUGUGGGCGUAUGAGUUUGAUUUAGAAUCAAACUCUAGAUCAGAAAUCUGCAAUGCAUAUUUUCUAAUAUUCUGAUUUUCAUAUCCUACUAUUUUUAAUUUGUGAGAUGGGUAACGUUACUGUAAAAGAUUAUUAAUGUAAUAUGAGUAAUUCUUUUGCAGGACAAGUGACCUACAUUUAGUUUGGCUUUGGAGUUGAAUAAUAACCUUUCGAGGUCAGGACAACAAAAAAAUGAAUCUUAAUUUGCCACAGAUUGCACUUAUUGCCAUUAUUGACAAAUUUCUUCACAAGGGAUCAAGGGCGAGGAUGUUGAUAGAAUAUUGAAUAAAGCUGCCGUGACUGAACUUACGUUGAUGUCAAAAGAGGUAAAUUAUUGGCAUGCCUGACUAUUUUGACCAUUACAUGAACAUGAGUUUACAUUAAUUUUGAUUUUGAGUUGAGUGACUUUUUAAGGUUUGCUUACUUAACCGGGUGAUGUGAUGCAGGAAGCAGGGCAGGAUAUGAAAUGAGAAGCGUAUUAGUGGAAGUAUUGCCAGUAACAGAACCCAAAAAAAAGUGGAACCAUUUUAAGGCAGCAGUUGGCAGUUGGGAGUGAAUGGAGGCCCUUGACAAAAUUCUCAAGCAGUUGCAAUGCAAUUACGAUCAUCCUCAGCCUCAGGUAAUUUCUUCUCCUGCUUUGUUGUUAUUUGUUACCUAAUUAAGAAGCAUAAAGUAUCUUGAAUCAUUUUCUGUAUCUGGAAUAUAUGCAACAGUCUCUAAAAUUUUGAUGACUGUAAUGAUUGUAGUUUCUGCUUUCUGUCCGACAUCGAAUGUAAGACGACUUUAUUAAGACUCUUGAACCGAGACAUUUUUGACAAUUGAAGGGCAAGUGCUGAAGAGUGGGAAUGGUGCUAGAUUGGGGAAUAAAGCAAAAGGAGGUAAAUUAUUGGUAGUUUCUGCAGCCUUGUUUUCUUUGAAUCAGCACCUGAUUCACAAGACUCCAUUAAUUUGGCUUUUGAUGAGCUGAGUGAUAAAUUUUCAAUUUCUUUGGUGCUAAAUGUAUGUGUGAAGCAGGUAGCAGGGCAUGACUGUGGAAAAGAGAAGAUUUUAGUGAAAGCUGAAACUCAGAUAAUUCUACAUUUAUCUAAUUCACGAAAUUUUAUUUCCAUCUGUUACAAGAUCAAACUGAAGCAGAACUCAAAGAAAGUAAUCUACUUCUUGCGGCAAUCUUGCCUUCGCUCAGAUUAUGAAACCAUUUCCAUGCACCAAAUUCAUCCAAAAGUUUGAAUAAGUUUCAUGGUUGGACACUGUUGGCUUCUUUUUCUUUUGGGGUGCAUUUUGGUGCUACCAAGUGACAGCUGCAAGUAUGAUUGCACUAACCUGCUGCUGGGAAAUUUGAGGUUUUGAUGGCUGCCCAUGUUAUUGUCAAGAAACUCCUCAUGUAAGAAGCUGUGGUUCUUUUCAUCAGCUUGAACCUGAAACUGUUGCUAUGGAUAACUCACGUUUUUAUUCUCAACUAUAUCAUCUUUUUUAGUGUUUUGAAACUCUUAAGAUUAAACUUUGGU